rnacentral:lncRNA from 1 species
GAGAGUGAGAGACUCAGGAAGGUGUUGGUUGCAAUUUGUGGAAUCUACGAGUGAGUAAGUGAGUGAGUGAGUGAGUGGAGAAAGACAGAGUGAGUUGUGGUCCGCGUUACUUCACCACUACCACGAUCAACCUCACCUCACCGCAUACCAUCAAAUUUUCAUUCUCAUUCUCAUUCUACUCUACCCCACGCGUACCUCUCACGCUCCCUCCACCACUUUUCUUUCUUUUCACUUCUUUCUUUUAAACAAAUAAUAUAAUAAUAUUGCUAAUAUGCAAUCUUUUAAAUACUUUCCUUUUUCUUUCAAACAUUUUCCCUUUUAAUCAGGCUUCACAAUUUUAGGAACCGAUAUCACAUUAAAUUAAUUUUUUAGCAAUGUUAACAAGGAAAAACUAAAAAUACACUAGGUUAGUAGAUUUAAAUAUUCAAAUUAACUAAAAAUGAUACAUAUAUCCCCUUUUCUUUUAUUAAUAUUUUCUAUUGUAACAAUAACUUUUUUUUAAUUUAUCAUUAUUUAAUUAAAAAAUUAAGAAUAUUAACAAUAUAUUUUAUACUAUGUAUUUUUCAACACACUCUAUUUAAUUAAUUAAAAUUUAUAUAAAUUCUAUCUAAAUAUAUAAAUCACAUUAAUUUAAUAAAACUCAUGUGUAUAGUUAAAAACAUAUCGUGCAUUAUUUUUUUUUUCAAUUAUUGUUUCUAUUAGAAUUUGGGUGUUAUUUUGAAUAGGAUGGGAGGCAAAUCAAGGUUGACAGAGAUUGGAUUGAGAACAUCGAAAUAAACGACAAUCUCUCACCUUAACCAAAUGUAUAACACGCGUGCAACGGGGGUUUCCAGAUCCACACAUGUAAACAUGUUCCUCGUCAAUUUUUUAUUCUAUUCUAUUCAAUAAAUAAACUUUCAAUCGAUAAUUUGUCCACCUUUGGUAAUUUACGAUGCAUGCCCUCAAUCUGAAAACAAACGUAGCUAACCACUUCCCUAAUAUAAUACAAAUUUUUAAUUUUGAUAUCUACACAUAAGUUAAUAUUUAAAUUAGUAUUAAUAUUAGUAAUUAUUGACAGAUUUAUUAAUAUUAAUAUAAAAAAACUUUAAAUUUAAAGUGUAAAUUUAUUUUAUAACGUUAAUAAAUAUUAAUAACAAUUAUUAAUUUAAUCAUCUUAUAUGAUUGUAAUUUUCAUCUAUUAAUAAUUAGACAAUUCAUAACUUAUAUAAAUAUAUUAUAUAUGUUUUUGUCUCCUUAUUGUUGACCAUUGCUCAACGUAAUCAACAAAGUGUAAGGUUUUCCCACAUAUCUAUUUAUUUAUUUGAAUUUAUAUAUAUAUAUAUAUAUAUAUUGUCAAAAUAAAGAAUUUUUAUUAUCAAUAAUUGAUAUAUAUAUAUAUAUAUAUAUAUAUAUAUAUAUAUUAUCAAUAUAAAUUAUUAUUAUUAUUAUUAAUCACAAUCAUUUGUUUAUUAAAAAUAUUUAUAUUUUAUUAUAAUAAUUAUCUUUAAAAUCAUAUUUAGAGAUGAUUGUAGUGUUAAUUUUGUAUACAAUUUUAUACCAUUAAUGUAUAAAUGUUAUUUUUUUACACUUAUUAAAAAAUAAAAUAAUUAAAAGAAAAGAAAUAUCAUUUUAUCAAAUUAAUUAUCUUAAUUAAUAAUAGAUUUUUUAAUAUUAUUAAUAUAAAACAUAAUAAUAUUUUAAAAAUUAUAUAUAUUGUAAUUAUUAAAGAAUAUUAUAAAAAAUAAAAUUAUAUUUAACAAUAUAAAAUAAUAUUUAUUUUAAAAUAAUUUUUUUAAUCCUAAAAUGAUAUUUAUUGUGAGACCGCUCUUGUUCUUAUUAUAAUUGAUACUUUAUUAUACAACAUAUAUUAUAACUAUUAGAAAGUUUUUCUUAACUUUAAUUAUGACUAAUCAUAACGCCAUUAGAUUGCCUUUUGUACUACUUGAGUGUUAAUUGUCCACAGUUUUUUACGCAGAGUCCCCACAUAUUGAUCACUUUACACCCGUAAUUUUAUUUAGAAGGGAUAACUUGCAAAUAGGGCAUGAGUAGAAAUCGUAGAAUGAUUCAGAUAUUUUCAGCUUAAUAAAAGGUGGUAUUCCAAUUCAAUUCCAAAAUGUAACAAUGUUAAAACUUAUGAGAAAAAUAUUUAUUAUUCAUUAUAAUUUUAUUCAACUAAAAAAUUAACCUCUAUCUUAUGCAUAAAAGAUAUCUCAAAUUGACACACACAAAAACAAAAAGAUAUUCGAUUUGCUUUAAAUAUAAACAAAUAUUAUAUAUCUUUGUUUUUAUUAUAUUUAAUGUCUAUUCAAAAAAUACUCUUAAAUUAAUAUAAAUUUUAUUUUUUUUAAUAACUCUUUUAUUUUUAUGAAUCAAAUUUAUAUAAAUAAUACUUUCUUUUACAAUCAUGUCAUUGAAGUAAAGUAUUCACCAAUUUUAUUGAUGAUUAAAAGAAAUUUGAACGAUAAUCUUUAGUAGAAUCUCUACUUCCAAUUAUAUUUUUCUUCCCUUUACUCAUACUAACAUAAUGUUGAACCAUUAAAGAUACUUUAAAAGUUAACUAAUUUUUAUAGAGAUAAAAAAAAAUUACUUUUGCUUAUAAUAUAACUAUAAGCAAAUGUGAAGUUAGUAUGUAGUUUAUACCAAAAUAUAUCUUUUUUUCUCACUUUUGCUGCUAAUAUUAUUACAGAGUAGUAUUUAUUAUGGGUAACUGAAUUUGUUAAGAGAUGUUAAAAAUUAUUUACUCUAUAUAAUCCACUCCAAAACCAAAGUGGUACUAAACAGAUUCUACGUCAGCUUUUUGCUGUGACUAGGUCAGGUAAAAGAUUGGCAAAUCGUAAAGCUUCCACUACUGGUUUGAUUAUUGAUUGCUUUUGUACCUUUACCGCGUAUUUGGCAUUGCGGCCCUUACAAGUUACAACCCAUGUCAUGUGCAAAAGAAUUUCCACCAUUUGCCACAAAUCGAAAAGGGAAAAAAUAAAGAGACGAGUUAGGCAGAGGAUUGGCAUUGUUCACAACGUACUUUGGGCCAUGGAACCAGCUUCAUUAAUGUAAAGAUAGAUUACAACAGAAGCAACAUCUCGUGAUUAAGCACUUACCAUCAUAGCACUUCAUACAGAUUUUUACCAACUACGGAACAAACUCGCACAAGGAGCACAUAACAAGGAGAAAAACUGAAUGAUACAGACACUUAAUGGGUGUUACAGCUUCUGAAUGUUCUUACAACAGAUCAAGAUGAUCAACUUACCCGUGAAGAAAAGCCAAUAAAAAAACAAGAGGCCACAGUAAAAUUAACACAAUACAUCAGUUAGACCAGACAUGAACUAGACCGUGCCUAUUACCAGUAUAGAUCUCAUUGCGCUCUUCGUCAUAAAAAAGAGCAGUAAUAUCUUCCAAGGCUUCGGCAACUGUGCUCCUCAUUUUGGAGACAUGCUUUCGCUUUCUUGAAUUACAACUUCCACCUGAAGAACUGUCACAGCAACUGCAUUUGUCGUCCAUUGGAGAACUAUUGCUUGCUCUUAUUUUGGCAAGACACUUGCCAGAUAAAAUGUUGCUGACAUUGAUGGAACCCGCUGCAUAAAAAAAGCAGAGCCUGUUAGUAAUGCACUUUUGAAGAUAGGUGCUCCAUCCAACAAAAGAUAUACAAAAUACAAUUAUCUCAAAAACACAUUGCAGGCUAUUUAAUUAUUGUGAUUUGCUAUUCUAUUUUAUGUUUUGCACAGAUCAAGUGAAAACCUGAAAAAAUUAGCUAAGAAUCAGUUUGGACAAACUUUUCAAUAAAUACUUUAGGAAAAUAAAUUUGAAAUAUUCCUACAAUGAUUACGAAUCUCUAAUAACUUCAUAAAUAAAUUGAAAUGAGUUUCUGCAAAUCAACAAUUUUUAAAGCUCUCAUCUUCUUUCUUCAUAACCACCUAUAAACCUAUCAAGUGUUUUUCCUCAGUUACAACUCAAAUGCAUAUCUUAAUUGAAAAGCUCACACAUGCCAAAAGCUAAUCCAAACCUAAAAUGACUUUCAGGUUUGGUGAUCUAAGCAACAAGUUUCAGAAAAUGUCCCACACAAGGUGCAUUAUUAUAAAGGAACAUAAAAGGAUUAAAAUAGGGAAAGUACCAUUUCCUUCAGAUAGUGAAUCGUCAGAAUCAGCUUUGCAGUAGGAUAUGAUAAGAUCCUGGUCACUGGUUAUAUAUAUGUUGUUUGUAUUACAGUCAGGAUGCCACAAUAGGUGGUCCUCAAAAGAAGUUACAAGCUCUCCACGGAAGUUCCACACAGCCACAGUCCGAUUCCGAAAUGUCAGGAAUAAUUGGUUCUCAUAUAGAAAGAUAAAUGCUGAAGGUGUCAUAAAUUCACUUCUGCUAACUUCUGUAAGCUCAAAAGUCCGCACCUAAAAUUUAUAAGAAGUGAGAUAACUGGAUGUAGAGCCGAGCAUACAAAGCAAGAAAGGAGAAAAUUACUUACGUCAAGAAUUUGAAGGUUUUCAUUUUCUUGCUUGACAAGUAGCUUUUCAUUGAACUGUUCGAUAAAAUCCACCUUCUUAUUCCGAUAAAGGAGAUGAUUGAACGAUUUCAAAACAGUACCAUCUUCUAUUGAAAGGAUUUUAAGUGGGACAUGGCUACUUGAUUUGGCAAAAAUCAACAACAUGAUCCCCGGACUAAACACAAGAAAUCAUCAAACCAAACAAAGUGGUGUAAAUAAAGUGUGACUACUCAAAGAAAGUAAGAAAAAAAGAGAGACUGAUAUUAUUAAAAAGAGAAAAUGAUUAUAUGAUAUGAUUUCACUAUUUCAGAAAAUCGUGCAUGACCAACAAUAAACCAUGUAUAUGAAAUAAAUUUUUACAAGUGAAAGAAAAUCCAUAUGAAUUGAAGAAAAGUUACCUGAUCUUAAUCUCCUGAACAUUUUUAUCAGAAAUGGAGUACAACAUCGUAUAGUUUUUCAGGUCAAAUACCUUGUAUAUGCUAUAGGAGAAAAAAAGGGCAAGUAUCACUAUCAAGAAAACUUGAUAUAUUUUGUAACUAUACCCUGGCAAAAAAAAGUCAGGACAAAAAUACUUACCUAUCCUGAGCAGAGUACGUGAGUACCUUCCCAUUUACAUCAUCAAACUCUACAAAACCUGGCCACUUCAAAGACUCGGAUUCAAAAAGAGCAAAGCCAGCAUCUGGUUUACCCCUCCUAAUGUAUCUGAAUAACAAAAUAAUUUUAGGAUAGAAUACAACAACUAAAACCUGGAAAUGCAAUUAUUGCUAUUCAUUUUUUUUCUUAGUUAUUGCAUCUUUGAUCAAUGAUUUGGUUUUAUCAGCCUUCAUUACUUAGUGAGGAGAGUGAAGCUAGAAAUUAUAAAACAACAGAGAACUAUACAUACUCAAUCCUUGUGCUUCUGCAUUUCAAGGAACUGUAACUGUCUGAUGCAUAGACAGAAACUGUGAUAAGCGAGUCAUUAUUUUUGUUAUAAAAGAGACUCCUUAUAACUUCAUCGGGACUGACAUUCAAAAAGCAUAUCCUUUGAUUGGUUUCUGCAUAAGACAGUUGAAACAUGUAACUCAUAUAAUAUAUCUGUUAUAAGUUGCAAACAGAAUUGGAGGGCAUAUAAAUACAAGUUACUAAUUCUACCUCGGCUAAAUGCUGCACAAACACCAGAUUGUGCAAGAGCAAAAACAAUGUCUUGUGCUGCCACAAUCUCAAUAAUCUUUGAUCUUUUUCUCAGAAAUGGCAACACCACAGACGAAGGACCUUUUGGAUCAUGUGUAUCAUACUCUUCCUAUAAAUAAAUCCAUCAGACAUUGCACAACAAGAUAGGGAAAUGAGCAUACUUACAGCAAAAUGCAUGUCUCACUAAUAAAACAGGAGCAACAAAGGAAUCUUCAACAUCAAUGAUUUGCAACAAUUAUAUAAGACAACUAGAAGCAAUCAUUUCAAAUGCUGCACUAAACACAAAAGUGUGGAACUGCAAUUGCUACGACCACAAAAAAAAAAAAAAAAAACAAUCCACGAAUUAACAGUAAUACAUGAAAUAAUUUCACCCAAAAAAUAACGUACUACAGGAAAACAAAAUUCCCCAAUCUUCAUAUGAAAUAAUCAUAUAAUAACCUCAAAACAAGUUCAAACUCUAAGAAAAUCACAUUCUCAAACCACGCUACUUUUCAAUUCCUAUUGUCACAUUUCGUAACACGCCCCAUGUUUUACUCUGAAGUAUACAAUACAAGCAUGUGGCAAGGCUUAAACUACUGUUCUACAUAUUCUAUAUCCAAGAAACACAAAGAAACCCAUUAAUAAUUAAAACCUCCUUAGCUUAAUUCUAAAUUAAGAUAAUAAAAACAAACAAAACUAGCUUCUGCAAAUACAUUUGAGCUUCUAUGGCUUCAAAACUAUGAUAAAAAUACCAUACAAGACUAAAGCCUAAAGUUUAGAGUUGGAUCGAAACGAGUAAAUGAAAAACAUAAAUGUUUCAAUUCAGCCCUAACCUAAAUAGCAAAACCUCAAUAAUGAAAAAGGGAAAAAAGAGAAAACAAAACGGAACCUGCAACCGAAUAUUGCGAAAUCUCUCCUGAGCAUCGGUCAUACUAAAAGCGCGAUCACGUUUUGAGCUAAUUUCUCGUCUCUGAAGCUUCUUAACGCUGUUGACGAAGCCAUCCACCGUUCCACCGCGACCGGUCUUCUUCUUCGCAAUAAUUCUUCGGCCGCAGCAAGGCCUAGGGCUCACCGUGAUUCUUCUCCCACUUUCCAUAUCCACUCACUCACCUUACAGUAACAGCUCCCCCAUCUGCGAUAACGUGAAUUAGGGUUUUAUUUUAUCCCCAAAAUUGAAGAAAAGGUGCUGUUACUGUGUGAGUGUUAUGAACGAGAACGAGAAGAGGAAGAAGAAAGAGAAGAAUCGAGUCCACCAAAUUCAAUGGGCGUCGAUCCCGUUUCAAAAUUUCUCAACUCCGAAUUCAGCUCUGACACUGAUUGCUAAUGUUGAUAAUUAAAUUAUUAAAAUAAUAAUUAAAAUAAAGAUAAAAAAACGAACCAAUGAAAUGAGCAGAACCGUAUCCGAGUGCGAUAGAUUGUACUAUGUCUGCCGUAUUAAAUUAACAGUGCAGGCCCAAAUUUAAGGCCCGCUUUCUUAAAUUUGAUAUCUAUUUUUUGGCGCUAAAUAAAUAUUGUGCGCGGACCAAAAUAUUUUGUGAAAAUUUGAAACUACCAUGUAAUUUUUACCAAGUAAAUUAAAUAUUGAUAUGUAUAUAUACUACAACAUAUUUUCUAAAUUAUAAAUUAUUUUUAAUAAACUACCGUUGGUCGUGACAAUAAGGAAUCUAAAGCAAUCACAUUUAUUCAAAUAAAUUUUGUAUUAUCUAUUAAUACAAUGUGUGAAUUUUUAUUCAUUUCAAUCAUUCAUAACUUUUUUUAUAAUUUAUAUUUUUCAUCGAUUUAAACACUAUAACAACAAAAACAAUAAUGCUACAUAGGAGAGGAGGAAGAUGAUGAAUGGUAGUUACAAUAUUUUAUUUUAUUGACACAUUAGUUUAUUAUACAAAAUUUGCAUUAGUUAAGUUUAUUCUACUAUAGCUUGAUAAUUUAAUUUAUAUAUACUUUUAUAUAACAUAAAUUUCAAUUAAAUUCUUGUAAUUUCUUUACAAUAAUUUUAAUGAUUUUAUCCGAACAUAUAUUGUCAGUAGUGUCGUAUUGAUUGAAUCAACAAAAAAAGUCAAUUUAAAUGUUUUAUACUAUUAAUUGAUUAGGGUAAUGGAGUCACAAAACUUGAAUCUAUAUAGAGAAUAUUAUGUGUUAAUAAAAGGUUUCGUCCUAAAAUUGUUUUAAACUUUAGUUUUUAUAAUAAAUUUUGAUGUCUUAUCUGCAAAUAAACAUAAUCUUCAUGUAUUAAUUAACUUCUCAGAUAAAAAAGUUAUUUAUGUAAUACUUAUCUAUAUACUAAAAUUGUUAUCAACUUUGAUAAAUAAAUAAAAUUAUCUAAAAAAUAAUAUCAAUAAAAUUGUAUUUUAUUAUCUAGAGAUGAUAUUAAGAGUAUGCCAUGUGUGCGAUAGGACGAGUAUUAUACUAAUUAUUGAAGAGAGAACAAUAAAGCAACAAUAGACUAGUACGUCAUUGUCUUUUAGUCAUAACUUAAUUAGCAAAUGAUCAUAUUAUUAGAUUGAACGUUGUGUCCCAAAUUCGAAUCUAAAUACAAUUGUAUAAGUUAAUUAUGAUGAUAUUUAUCAUUUAUAAGACUACUAGACCACUAACAAAAUGACCACUCAUACCCAAUUAACUUGAAGGCCCAAAUUUAAAGGCCAAAUUUAUUAAAUUAAAAUCAUCAAUAUAAACACAUUGUUUAAAUCCUCACUCACAAAAUCCUAAGCCACACCAUACUUGAAUUUGAGAAUUUCACACAUGCAACCUAGAAAAACAAAGGGACACACUUUCCUCAAACAUCAACUUCAAUUAAAUCUCAAUAUAUAUUUUAACGAGGGUUUAAGUUACUUCAAAAAGAAGAUUAGAGACCUAAAACUUGAUUUAUAAAUUGAAUUUUUAGUAUAUAAAAACUCAAAUUACCUUAAUAAUGAUUUACUUCUUCCAUAUUCUUCUUCGUUCUCGUCUUAUUUAUCUUUUAUUUUCUCAUAUUAUUUAUCUUAAUUCCUCGAAUCUCUACGCGUCUCUCUACACACAUUUCAUUCUUAUUUUCUUAAUAUAUUUUAUAGUUUUAUUCAUUUGAAUUUAUUUGUUGGUAGAUUGUUAGACACAAUGCCACCGAAGUGGGGGUGUAUCUCUUAUUAUACAUUAAUUCAACAAAAUUUUACUAGUUACAACUCACUUAAUCUUCUACUCGAGCAAAUUAAUUAUACCUAAAGGUUAAUUAUUUAUGUUUUUAUUAUUUUAAUAAUUAUAAAAAUAUUAAUAGAGCAUUUCCAAUGAUAAAAUUUUAAGAUUUAAUUUUAGUUUUUAUACUUUUAGUCAAUCGCAACUAUUAGUUUAUUAAAAAUGUCUAACUUUUAUCAAAAUUACAUUUAAAAAAAAAUAUUAUAUUGUAAACGUAUGACAAUUAAAUUUAAAAUUUUAACAAACUCACUUUAUACUUUUAAGUAGAUCAACUCAAAUUUAGAAUACUCAAUCAACUUUUACUUUAGUGAGAGAUUUCAUUACUAGGUUACCUAAUUUACAAAGAUCAUAUCGAUUUAUAUUUUUAGUCAAUCGCAGCUAUUAGAUUAUUAUAAAUGUUUAACUUUUAUCAAAAUUAAAUUUAAAAUAAAUAAAUAAAUUACAUUGUAAAUGUAUGACAAUUAAAUUAAAAAUUUUAACAAACUCACUUUAUACUUUUAAGUAGAUUAACUCAAAUUUAGAAUACUCAAUCACCUUUUACUUUAGUGAGAGAUUUAAUUACGACGUUACCUAAUUUAUAAAGAUCACAUAUUUCUUUUUAAUUUACGAAUGAUUAUGAUGUAUGUUACCUAAUUUACAAAAAUUAUUUAUCUCUCUUUAAUUUACGAAUAAUUAUGAUAUAUUGACAGUGUAAAAAAUAUUUUUAACAAUAUUUGACUUUAAAUAUUUUUAAAUAUGUAACUUUCAGAAAAUAUAUGAAACUUAAAAUUGCAAGCACACUAAAUUAAUAUUAGAUUGUUAUAAAAUAUAUGUCAAACAUCUAUUGAAGAUGUUUUACGGAGAACCCGAUUGUCCGUAGUAUCAUAAUUGGUAAUUCCUAUUAAUGUUAUUCUUCUAAUUUCUAUUAGGCCAUGCUAUGCUAUCAUUAUUUCAUAAUUACAUACGAUUCCAAGGAAGUAGUACAACAACAAUAAUAAGUGCCACAUUCUCUCCGCAUUUUAAAACAUUUGUCUUCAAAAUUGGCAUAACUAUGUUUUAAAAAACAGUGGACUGACGUCAUAUUCAAAUAAAGUAUGUCAUAUAGUCUAUUUACCUCAACUACUGCCACAUGUGCACCGCGUGAUCUUAGACCGCUAGAAUAAAACUAGUGAAUAUUUAUGUCAAUAUAAAGUUAUCGUUCAUAAAUUAUCCUUUCAUUGUUGACUCUUCUUAUUAGAUCCUUACUCCAUUAAUUAAGAAAACAUUUUUUCCACACUUAGACUAUUCAUCCUCCUCUUAUAGAAGUUAUGACUGGUUUAAGAUACAUGGAUCAAGGUUGUGAUUGAUAGAGGGGAUUUAUAAGAGAGAUAGAGAAACAAGUGAGAGAGAUAAAAGAGAAAUGUAACAUUUAGAUAGUUUGACACAUCGUAGAAUUAGAGAAGAGAAAUAUAUAAAUACUGAGUCCACUGCUUUUUGGACUAUUCGCAAACCUGUCGAGAAAGAGCUAAUAAAAACUAUUUUUUUUUUCACGUUCCACACUUACCAGUUGCUUUGUGUCUUUCAUCAUGUUUUCAAUUAAAUAUUUUUGGUUGUUAACUAAUUAUAAUUAGUAUCAUCUAUCAAUAUCAACGAAACAUUUCUUUACCUAUAACAAACUUAAUAAAAUAAGUAAAAUUAUUAGUUUACUCUAUUUUUACCCCUUUCUCUCUCUCUCUCUUUUUUUUUUUUAUAUAUAUUUUCUCACUUUUUUUUCUCUCUUUUCAUUUUAUUCUCCCAACCAAACCACACCAUGUAUUAUGUCAACUGAAAUAUCUAUGUUAGUCUACUCAGCAUUUUGUUUACUUCAUCAACACAUUUUCAACGACAAAUAUCUAUAUAAAAUCGAGAUUACACCAUUGAAUAUUGUAUCCCAAUAUAUGAACGUAAAAAUUAUAAUGUUUAGCAUCUCUUCCACUGCGCAUUAAACCAAUGCCACCGUGCAAAGAAACAAAGGCUAAGAACUUUUUUUACAAAUGAAGAAUUAUAAUAAACUGGGAUUAAAAUUCAAAUAAAUAAUGAACAAUUAAUAAUUUUGCUACCUACAUCCCCACAUUUGCUAGUUACACGUGUUUAAAUGACUAAUAUGUCCUUAUCAUUAAAUCAAAUUUGUCAACUUUUUAUCUUUUCCUCUUUCAACGUGAAACUCACAACUUUUCUUGAACCGAAUACAUUUACGUGAAAUGAGUUAAACUACACACUUUCUCUACUUAUUGCAAAAUUUUACAUGUACUUUAACUCAUUUUAAAUAUAUGUACGUAAAUUCAGUUUAUGUACCCAAUUUAAGUACACGUACGUGAAUUCAAUAUAAGUAUAUAUACGUGAACUCAGUUGACGACAUACAUUUACGUGAAUCGAGUUUAAGUAAACAACUUUUCUACUAACUACAAAAAUUUACAAGUAAUUGAACUCAAUUUAAGUACAUGUACGUGAACUCAGUUUACACACAUUUAUGUGAACUGUGUUAAAGUACACAAUUCCUCUACUCACUGCAAAAUUUUACACGUACUCAAAUUCAGUUUAAGUACAUGUAUGUGAACUCAGUUAACGUACAUUUAUGUGAACAUAGUUCAAUUACACACUUCCUCUACUCAAAGCAAAAAGGCACCUACCCCUCAUUUUUAAACAUAACAUACCUAUGAGUAGUGUGAGAUUAUCCCUUUUCUCAAUUUUAUAUUCAAUUUAAUAAAUGAAUGUUUCAAUAAUAAAUGAACUUUUCAAUAGAAAAAUAAAGUGACGUGAUAUAUACAAUAUAUUAAUGGCUAAAUUACAUUAGUGGUCCUUAACUUAAUUUCAGGUAACGUUUUAGUCCUUUAUUUUUUUUUUUCCGAUUUGGUCCUUUAUUUUAAUUUUAAGUGACAAUUUGAUAUUUUAUGUUUUAAAAUUUCAACAAUGUUAUCCUUUUUUAUACCAAAAUUAAAAAAAAAAUCAAUCAAAACUUAUAAAAUUAAUUAUAUUCUUUAAUAUAAUACAAAUUUUAUCAAAUUCGUAAAGCAAAUCUUCAAAUAAACUCAUAUUUUCAUACUUUAUUUGAUAUUUUUAGGAAUAAAGGACUAAAUCGUUACCUGAAAUUAAGUUAAAGGACCACGAAUAUAAUUUAGCCUAUAUUAAUUAUAUAGUAAAAAAGAAAUAAUAAAAAAUUUGUGUUGAUUGAGGGUAAUAAAAUUAAAAAAAAAAAUUGUUGUCCUUGUAUCCACAGUUUUCUUUGUCCACUUUCCAAGCAAAAUGCUUACGUGUCGCAAUUAUGUAGUCUCUAAUCGGCUCUUGCUCCAGUGGACCCUUCUCUCUCUCUCUCUCUCUCUCAAAUAUUCCAAAUACAUGCAUAUAACACUCUGCAACUCGACAAAUCAAUCAGCUUUUACUCUCUCAUAGAAUAAAAAUAUUCAUUUUUAAUGUGUUCGUGUAUCUAUCUAGCUAGCUCUGUAUUAGAGUCAAAUUAACAAAGAGCAUAGAUAGAUAGAGAGAGAGAGAGGAAAAGGAAGAAAUGGAGGAAGUGUUUUUGGUUCUGGCUAUGAAAUUAGCUUCUUCACUUGCUCUUGUGGGCAUUUUCAGCUGGAUACUUUAUUCUUAUGGAAAUCUUUGGUAUAACUCUCAAAGGGUUAGAAGGAAGCUACGAAUGCAAGGUAUUAGAGGGCCUCCAUCUUCUUCUUUUCUACAUGGGAAUCUACCUGAUAUGCACAGAAUCAAAUCACAACCUAUAAUCUUCAAACCUAAUGAUCAGUUUUUAGCACACGAUUACUCUGCUGCUCUGUUUCCAUAUUUUCAACACUGGAGGAAACAAUACGGUAUACUCUCUUUCAAUCUCUUCUUUACACUUUCAUCAUUAACACUUAAUAAUUUCACAGAUAUAAAGUAUUCCAAGAUAUAAAGUAGAUUUAGUGGUUGAGAUGAACUAGUUAAACAACAACAUAUCAACUAAAUUAUCUUAUUACUAUUCACAAUUUAUUUGCUCAAGUACACUUUUUAUCGUUUAUUUUCUCUAAUUAGCUGACUGAUGUAACAUUGUUUAGAAGAAUUUUAACUUAAUAACUCAUUUUAAUAAUCAAAUUAAAUCUAGCACGGCAUGAUUGAGUUAACAUAUAGGGAAUCUGAUUAUAUUCAAAAUAAAUUAUUAUGGGAAAAACUGUGGGCCAAAGCAUGCCUAAAUCACAAUCACAGCUUCAAAAUCGUUUCUCGUUUCCGCACUAUCUUAGUCACUUUUUGCCGAAAGCAUGCCUAAGUGCAUUGAUUGGAAUUGUAUGCUAUUAACCAUUCAAGAACUCAUGCAAUAAGGAAUUUGAUGGUCUAAAUGUUAAGUUUAGUGUAUUUCAUUUUAUUUUGUAAAAUUAAAUGUGAAUUAUAUUUUUAACAUCAAAACUUGGAUUGAAAUCUGGACCGUCCGUCUCUAUCCAACAACUGCAAUGUAAAGUGUCAUUGCUAACAAGAAUCAACCAAAUCACUACGGCAUAUAUGUCUUUUUUCUCUUAAUUGAAAUGGAAGUCACCCAUAAUUACUAAGAAGGAAUGUAUUGAUUGAUUUAUUAAGUUCGAUCUAUUUUUAAAUUGUUUUGAUUGUACUACAGUAGAAAAUCCACCUGACAAUUUUCCUAAACUUUUUUUGAUGAUAUUUUUUGGAUUUGUAUACUAAAGAAUGUCUCAAAUUGUAUAACUUUUUCGUUUUCUUUGAUCAUUUGGCUCUCUUUUAUAUAAAAGUAAAUAAAUAGUAAGUCCAAGAUUGAUUGGUCACAUUUUUGUACAGUUUUUGUCACGUUCGUUUGUCUGUUGCUUAAAAUUAGGGAACGCAAGGAAUAUAGUUUUAGUGCUUUGGUACCACAUUGGUAGGUUUUAGACAUGACAGCACUGUCUCUUUGAGACAUUCCUCGUUGGAUUAAUUGGUAUCUUGCUAGUGGGAAACCUGGAAAGUGGAAAACGCAUAGACUAAUUUCCUACGCCAAAAUAUGCCCAAUAUCUUAUAUCCAGGAUUUCUUUUAUAAUUAAUAUUAUAUUAUUUAUUUAUAAUUAGUCUCACAUAUACACAUAAUAUAAACGGCUGAUAUAUAUAUAUAUAUAUAUAUAUAUAUAUAUAUAUUUUUUUUUUUUUUUUUUUUAUUUUUUAUUUUUUUCUCUAAAAUGUUUGACCAAAUUCUGAUAUUAAGACUUUGAAAAGCAAUAAUCAAUGGACAUAAAUUGACCCAUAUACAAUGGACCCAAAUUCUUGCACUAGUCAUAUCACACAGUAGUAACAUCACGAGGUUACACAUGCUCUAAAACAAUUUCGAUGCUUAAUUGAAAUCGGUUUAUGACUGUUACAGGAAUCUGUUUCCUGAUAUAUAUUAUUCUCAAUCUUUCUUUUUAAGUAAUUAUUCAUUAUUAAAUUAAACAUACAUACUUUUAUACUUUCAAUUAUUGUAUUCUUAAAGCAAAUGAUUGGUGUGAGAUAAAUUGAAAUGUUAAUAAAUAUAUAAAAACUUGAGACGUAUAUGUAUCAUUAUUGUAUUCAUAAUUUUAUGCCUCUUCUAGUAUUCUAUUAUAUAUAUUAAAAUAGACUCUCACAUAAACAUCAUAUAAUAUUGUGCCAUUUCAUUCAAAUAUUGUUAUCUCAACAAAAAAUUCUAUAUGGCGCAUCUAAAAAGUUUUUUCUCUUAAAUUCUCCUUAUUAUUUAACUUCCAAUUUGUUUUAACACAUACUUUAUUAUUAUUAUUAUUAUUAUUUAGUAUAUAAUAUUAUGUAUAACUAUUAAUGUGUCAUGAGUUACAAAUUAAAGUAAAAUCAAUAGUAAAAUAGACUCUCACAUAAACAUCAUAUAAUAUUGUGCCAUUUCAUUCAAAUAUUGUUACCUCAACAAAAAAUUCUAUAUGGCGCAUCUAAAAAGUUUUUUCUCAUAAAUUCUCCUGAUUAUUUAACUUCCAAUUUGUUUUAACACAUAUUUUAUUAUUAUUAUUAUUAUUAUUAUUAUUAUUAUUAUUUAGUAUAUAAUAUUAUGUAUAACUAUUAAUGUGUCAUGAAUUACAAAUUAAAGUAAAAUCAAUAUUAUGUAUAACUAUUAAUAUGUCAUGAUUUACAAAUUAAAAUACAAUCAAUAUAUAAUUUUUUUUACUUAUUUUAUUAUAUUUCUUCAAACAAUUUCUACGAUUAGUGCCUUACAACCCAAUCAUUUUCAAAAAAGUAGAUAUAGUUAGAAAUUCUUCUUUGUUGCACAAAUAUCUUUUGAGUAAGUGGUAUUUUGUAACAUAUUAUACCAAUUUAAAGUUUCUACAUUUAUUUUACUUCUACUCAAUCGUACAUACACGUUAUUUGUGAAAAUUCUCAAGUCAUGUUGUAUAGAAGUCUCAUACUCAAAAUAUUAGAAUUUAGAUUUGUCAUUUUUUUGACAAUAUUAGAAUGAAAUGAAUACCAAAUGACAAAAUCAUUUUUAUGUUUUUCUAACAAUAUUUUGAAAGUAAAUUUAGAUUUGACAACGAUUUUGCAGUAGAUAAUUACUUAUAUAUUAAUAUUUAUUAAAAUACUUUUAAGAUUUUUACCACUAAAUAUAAUUUAUGAAUUUUGUUUGUAAGAUGAUCUUCAUAUGAAUUUUUAAUAUUAAAUAUUUGAAUUAAUUGCAAUUAUGUGCUGCAAAAUAUUUUACAUAUUGUUUGUCAACUCAUAUAUAAUAAUUACUUAAAUAAACUCACUUGAAAAAAUACUCUAUAAACAAUAUGAAUAAAUUAUAUUAUUUUUAAAAUUUUAAAAUCUAUACUAUUAAUGUGUUAAAGUUUAUAUAUCCCGCGCAACAAGCUUUAUAAUUUCCAAUAAAAACAAAGGUGUUCUUAAUUCUACUCAACGACAAUGUUUAAAGUGUAAUUGUUGAUUAUAAUUGUUAUCCUUCAAGUAGCAGUACUUUUGUCUAGAAUAGUAGCCUAUAGUAGUUAUAUCUUCACAAUAUAUAAAUAAGUAACCGUAAGUAUCAAAAUGUUCAAUAGAAGCAACAUUUUCAGAAUUGGAUAGUUACCAACGUGGAUUGAUUCUAGCAGAAGAACCAAUACUCCAACGACUUGGCUUGAGUCAGAUAUAGUUGCAUUUAAUGUCCGACAUAACUCGAAUAAGAUUAUCUCUGGUUGAGAGGGAACCAAAGAGAAACUAAUAUAUUCACAAACAUAUAAAUAAUAAAAUAUGAUAAAUGGAUCUGGGAUUAACAUAAAUUUAGUUAAUGUUGGUAUUUGCAGGUCUAGUGUACACUUACUCUACAGGGAUGAAGCAACACCUAUAUGUGAACGAACCGGAUCUAGUGAAAGAAAUGAACCAGUGUAUCACUUUGGAUUUGGGUAAGCCUUCUUAUAUAACAAACAAACUUGCACCAAUGCUUGGCAAUGGCAUUUUGAGAGCCAAUGGUCAUAGUUGGGCGCAACAGAGGAAACUUGUUGCAGCUGAGUUCUUCAUGGACAAAGUUAAGGUAUCUAUAAAUAUUUCUUAAAAUAAAGAUAGAACUUUUAAAUGAGUUUAUGAACCUACAUGUACCAAGAACCCUGAGCCAAUUCCUUUCCAGUUAAAUUACAAUUAAAUUAGUUUAGAUAUACAAUUGACAUUAUAAUUAAGUUUAAACUCUCAAAAACUAAGCUUCAAUUUUCACCUUAGAUUUGGGUAACGUGUGGCUGAAGCAAACAUAUACUAAGUCUAGAACAUAAAUUAUGAGUUUUUUUUUCUCCCGUAGAAAGGACAACAAUUAUCUAGAACUAGAAAAGCCUAGUAGUAGUUAUACACUACAUGCACAAUCAUGUUCUUGCUGGAUAGCAAUAGGGUUGGGAUUCUCUACAUUUACCUCAAUUUAUAUGAAGUUAGCCCCUACAAGAUGAGAGAAGCAUAAGUAUAUCACGUUUUAUGAUUAUGAGUGGUCUAUGGAUUAUUGAGUUUUGAAUUAAAACGAAAAUGACAACAUCAUAAAUGGAAAGUGAUGUCGCUCCACCACCUGUUUGAUGAAAGUACCACCUCACUUUGUAUUGUUUCUGGCUAAAUAUAUAGAUAAAUCAUAAAAGAUAUUUGGAUAACUGAAAGGAAACAUGCUAGGGACAACGAAUAUGUAGAAUUAAUGCAUGGCAUUGGGGCAGGGUAUGGUGGGGCUUAUGAUAGAGUCAGCACAACCUUUACUACUAAAGUGGGAGCAAAUUAUUGAGGAGCAAGGUGGUGCUACAGCUGAAGUUAAAGUUGAUGCUGAUUUGAGGAGCUUUUCAGCUGAUGUUAUUUCAAGGGUUUGUUUUGGACAUUCUUAUUCCAAGGGAAAGGAAGUUUUCUCAAAGCUUAGAACCAUCCAGAAGAUCAUGUCCAAACAUGGCUUCCUUUUCGGCCAGACCGGUUUCCUGUAAGCCAAUUCAACUGUAAAAAAUAGAUUUACUUUGAUAACUGUGAAUGUAAAAUUUGUUUACAUUGUCGUCUAAUCACAAAUCAUCAUUUAUAUUACUUUUAAAGGGUUAUAUAAUUAAACUCAUAUUUUUAGUGAUUCGCGGAUUGUAACUGACUCAUUGUGUAAACAUUACUUACACUGUCACUGUAUAAAAUUUAAAUCCCUAUAAAAAAAACACUAUCACAUAUAUACACAACUCUUACAUUUCAUAAAUGUUCAACUAUGACACAUUUGUUUUUGACAGGAACUAUGACACUUAUAUUAAGAAAUGCAAAUUGUGUGAUUAGCCUUACUUUAUUUCUAAAACUAUACAAUUCAUUACUAUUAAUUUUAGUGGUAAAGAGCUUUAGUCCUAAAGUAUCUGUGUUCUGAACAAUGCACGUGUCAAUGUACUCUAAUCAUAAUCAUAACAUAAUGUUGAUAAAAAAAUAAAAUUUCAUACUAGCUUUGUUUAAAAUCUUUAUAACCUUACUUAGGUGUUGUUCUCCACAAGUAGUAUAAAAGGAGUUUGUGUUUAAUUAGCUAGAAAACUGACUGAUAUGAUAACUAAUGACAGGGAGAAGCUGAAAUUUCGGACAAAGAAGCAAAAAGAGAUAAGAAAUUUGGAGAAAGAGAUAGAGUCACUGAUCUGGGAGUUAGUGGAGGAACGGAAGCGAGAUUGCUCAUCAGAGACAUCAUCGUCAGAAAAGGAUCUGAUGCAGUUACUGCUGGAAGCUGCCACGAGUGAUCAAAGUCUAGGGAAUGACUUCUCCAAACAAUUCAUUGUGGAUAACUGCAAAAACAUAUACUUUGCUGGUCAUGAAACUACUGCUGUUGCAGCUUCUUGGUGUUUGAUGCUUCUUGCUUUAUACCCUGAAUGGCAAAAUCGUAUAAGGACAGAGGUAGCUCAACAUUGUCCUAAUGGUAUACCAGAUGCAGAUUCUCUCCCUCUUUUGAAAACGGUACACCAACUUUGAUUUUCUUAAAAUUAAAAGUAUACACAUCUAGUCAUUCUCAUUCUAUAUCUUAAGAAAAAUUGAAAACUGUACCCCCUUACUUUUUACACACAUAACAUUGCAUUUAGGUAAACACUUGGUUAAGAGCUUAUUGAACUUGUCGAUGAGGUAUCGCAUCAGUGGAUAAGAGUUUAAUUUUGUCAUCUCUAGUUACAAAGUUCAAAUCUCUUCGGAAAUAAUUCUGAAUUGGUUGAUAGUAAUUUUCCCUUUCCUUAUUUUUUUUUUAAAAAAGAACUUAUUGAACAAGUGUUUAUUAGUAUAUAGUUUUAAGUUGUGGUCCAUAAUUGCAAUUGCGGCCACAAAACAAAGGCUUUAAAGGUCUUUGUGACAACAUCACAAAUGUAAUUGCUGUUUCAUUAUUGGCAUUUGCCCGCAUUUUUUCGCAAUACCAAAGUUCACAGUAUAACAGCAUCUGCACUUGCAAUUGCAAUUUAGAAUCAUAUAGCUAUUUCUAAAUAAAACAUUAAAAUGUGUUUAGAUUGUUUUCAUAAGUUGAAGGUUGUUUUCACAUACUAUUCGGAGCUUAUUUUAAUAAGCUGAAAAAUCUUAUGAUCAUAUCCUUAGUUAUUUUUAUUAGCUUUGUCAAACAUGCUAAUUAUAUCAUUAGACUCUUAACUUGAUUUUGGGAAUUUGGACAAUUUAUGGAGCAUUAGAUUACUGGUUACAGGUAAACAUGGUGAUUCAAGAAGUGCUGCGUUUAUACCCACCAGCAGCCUUUGUGUCAAGGGAGGCAUAUGAAGACAUCCAAAUUGGAAACCUGAAUGUUCCAAAAGGUGUUUGCUUAUGGACUUUAAUCCCAACACUGCACAGAGAGCCUGAAAUUUGGGGACCAGAUUGCAAUGAGUUUAAACCAGAAAGAUUCAGUGAGGGUGUCUCUAAAGCUUGCAAGUUUCCACAAGCGUAUGUUCCAUUUGGAGUGGGUACUCGCUUGUGUGUGGGGAAGAACUUUGCAAUGGUUGAACUAAAGGUUGUGCUAGCCCUUAUUGUUUCCAAGUUCAGCUUCUCUCUAUCUCCUAGUUAUAAGCAUUCUCCUGCAUACAAUAUGAUUGUAGAGCCAGGACAUGGUGUAUAUCUUCUCAUUCAGAAGAACAACUGAUUGAUGAAACGACUUCAUCGACUUAAUUUAACAUGCAAUUAAGCAUUUGAUUUCUUUUGACUAUGUUUGUUUACAUGUUUAUGUUUAAUUAAUGUUUUUUUGGUUAUUGACUAUAAUUUUUUGUGUGUGCGUAAACUUAGUAUCCUCCGAAACUUGUCAUUCGAGUCGUGUAAGAUGACAAGUGCAAAGUUCUCUAUCAAAAGUUUUAACGUUGAUACAAAUUAUAUGGUCGAAUUCAAACUUAGAAUCUUUGGUUAAGAGAAAAUAGACCCGAAUCAUUUCAUACAAAUAUUUUUUGUUAUAAUUAUUAAUUUUUUAAUUUACUUUAAAUCUGUAUGAAAAAAUCAUAAAAACAUUCAAUCAGUCUUUUAAUUAAUUAUUAAAUAAUUUAUAAUUGAGUCCAUAUUUAUUGAAAAAAUUUGUAAGCAAAAGAAAUAUUUAUUGAUAAAUUUAGAAAUUAAGUUAUAAAUCAUUAUCUAAAAAAUCAUAAUUUCUAUUAUAAAUUUUGUUUUUUCUACAGUAGUAUUAUAAAUUUUGUUAAGAAAAAUAAAAGAUUCAAAUUGAAAAAUUUAGAAACUAUAUCAUAAAUUAUUAGUAAUCAAUUUCAAAAUAUUAAUAAAAAUGAAUUUUUCUUAGUUAAGAGACACAAUUACAGAGAAGAAUUGGAAAUAGUACACCUGGCUUUCCGUUUUAUUCUAUCCAUCCAAUUCCAAAGAGCAACUGUCAAAAAUGGCGGCAACGGGAAUUGCAUCACCACACUACACUCACAUACAUGUAAUACAAGUUUCCGCUUCGAAAUCCAUGGAAUUGAAAUGGGUAAGAACAAGAAUCACUAAAACCUCACACAACAAUCUUUUGAGACCCCUUCUCCCACUUUACAUUUCCACUGACCCACGCCACGUCCAUCCUCAACAUCUUCAAAACCUCUGCUCCACUUGCAAUCNNNNNNNNNNNNNNNNNNNNNNNNNNNNNNNNNNNNNNNNNNNNNNNNNNNNNNNNNNNNNNNNNNNNNNNNNNNNNNNNNNNNNNNNNNNNNNNNNNNNNNNNNNNNNNNNNNNNNNNNNNNNNNNNNNNNNNNNNNNNNNNNNNNNNNNNNNNNNNNNNNNNNNNNNNNNNNNNNNNNNNNNNNNNNNNNNNNNNNNNNNNNNNNNNNNNNNNNNNNNNNNNNNNNNNNNNNNNNNNNNNNNNNNNNNNNNNNNNNNNNNNNNNNNNNNNNNNNNNNNNNNNNNNNNNNNNNNNNNNNNNNNNNNNNNNNNNNNNNNNNNNNNNNNNNNNNNNNNNNNNNNNNNNNNNNNNNNNNNNNNNNNNNNNNNNNNNNNNNNNNNNNNNNNNNNNNNNNNNNNNNNNNNNNNNNNNNNNNNNNNNNNNNNNNNNNNNNNNNNNNNNNNNNNNNNNNNNNNNNNNNNNNNNNNNNNNNNNNNNNNNNNNNNNNNNNNNNNNNNNNNNNNNNNNNNNNNNNNNNNNNNNNNNNNNNNNNNNNNNNNNNNNNNNNNNNNNNNNNNNNNNNNNNNNNNNNNNNNNNNNNNNNNNNNNNNNNNNNNNNNNNNNNNNNNNNNNNNNNNNNNNNNNNNNNNNNNNNNNNNNNNNNNNNNNNNNNNNNNNNNNNNNNNNNNNNNNNNNNNNNNNNNNNNNNNNNNNNNNNNNNNNNNNNNNNNNNNNNNNNNNNNNNNNNNNNNNNNNNNNNNNNNNNNNNNNNNNNNNNNNNNNNNNNNNNNNNNNNNNNNNNNNNNNNNNNNNNNNNNNNNNNNNNNNNNNNNNNNNNNNNNNNNNNNNNNNNNNNNNNNNNNNNNNNNNNNNNNNNNNNNNNNNNNNNNNNNNNNNNNNNNNNNNNNNNNNNNNNNNNNNNNNNNNNNNNNNNNNNNNNNNNNNNNNAACAACCUCAGCAUCUCCGAAACCGAACCCGUCGAUAUAAACAAGCUCCGUAUUGCUCUUUCUCACAGUUCUGUUCUUGUCUCUGUCUUUUGUAAACCACACCACCGUGACGGUUUAAAACCUAAAUCUUCGUCUUCUGUGGUGGAUUUCUUCACGCCGGUUUCUCCUUACAGCGAUUUAUUGGUGGGGUUUGGCCGUGCCGUUUCUGAUUGUGGUCUCACUGCUUCUAUUUACGAUGUCAUGGUAACAUUUUUUUAUAGUAACAAACAAAGAAAUAAACUUUUCAUCUUUUCUUGAUAUCCCACUACCUGAAUUUGACAUCUUAGUUCUUGGGCAUGAUUAUUUUUGUUUCUUGUUAAUGACAAGUUUUGAGUUUAGUAAAUACCUCAAUUAGUCCUUGAUAUUGUACCAAAAGGAUCCCAAGAAUUGCAAAGUGCAUUUAUUAUCAAAUGGUUCUCUUACAUUAUUCACUCAGUUUUCUAAUUCACCGGCGAUGUUACUGACUUAAUGUUCAUUACAGUUUCUUCAAAUAUUGUCGAAAGGACAAAUUUUAUUAAAAUUUUACAAUUUCACGGAUCAUUUUAGAUAUUGAUGAUGUGAGAGACUAGAUUGAUACCGGCGUAGUAUAAUUUUAAGGACCAAUUUUAGUACUAUUUGCUUGUUUUAUGUUUUCACAUUUUACAACUUUUUUAUAUCAUAUGUGCAGUUUAUUAUUUUGGCUACUCAACCAAUUAGAUAACGUGCAUGUAUCAACUUGCUUCAGCGUCUUGCAGGUUAUUCCAUCCCUGCGGAGAAUGGGAAUUGGAAAAAUGAUUGUUAAAAAAAUCCUGAGGUAUGUAAUUAACCACCUUUUGACUCUCUUCUUUGAUGAUUCAAUUCAGUGCUAAUCUGCAUGGUUUCUAUACUAGAUAGAUCUGCAUGGUUCCUGUACUAGAUAGAUACUCACUUUAAGAAUGCAGCAUAGCAGACUGAAAUAACCUUUUGUUGAUGACAUGAUAAUCUUAUUCAUGUAGUUUUUGUCACGUUUUUUUGUUGGUAUAGAGUUUUGGUUUGACUUUUGUCAGUUUGAUUUUUCAAUAUUUGCACUAAAUGCCAGUCAAAGGGAGAAUAACAUUUAUGCUUCUUAUUUGAAAUGUAAGUUUCUGAUUUCCACCUAAAGGUGAUGAGUAUAACGGGUCUUCCCAUUUUAGGUUAAAGAUCAAUACAUAAAGUUCCAUAUAUCUGAAUAUGAUCUAUUUUGCAGAAUGCUUACAAAUAGAGACAUCUAUGACAUAGCAGCCCUUUGCUCAGAGGAUGAGAGGUUGUUCAUUAUACUUCUAGAGUGCUUACUUUGAUCCCUUUUUUGAACAACAAUUCAUGUUCUCAACUUUUUGUCAGGUUGUUUUUUAAGGCUUGUGGAUUUGGUGGUGACAUUUUGAGCUCUACUACCAUGAUGUACACAAGAACUGCUUCAUCGACAACCCAGGAAGGCGAGAGCAAACCGUAACAUGUGCAGGCCAAAAGCUAUUGUUGGUUCCACCUCUGAUUGACAGACCCUACAAAUCAGGACAAUAAUAUAGAAUCCUAUUUGCUUCACUGUAUAAACAACUAGCAAAAAGAAGAUUGUCGUGGGAUCAACCAGAAGAGUUUCAAUGUUGCCAUUUUUGUCAUUCUUCGCUAGUGUAUAUUCAACUCUGCAGGGACAAUGUGCAGUUGCAAGAUUUUUUUGUCAUGCUUUCACUGUAAAUGCAAGAAACAUUGUGGCUUCUAGAACAUAUUGUUGUACAAAGCAUAUCGUAAAUUCACCUUCUAAAGAUUUCAGUGUCAUCUCACAAGUAUUCUAGAUGUUUUUGUCAUUAAACCAUAUAUUUUAUGUAAAAUGAUAUUUUUUGUGUGGAAAAGCUUAUGUAAAAUGAUAUUAAAUUGGUCUUUUAUAUAAAACACAACAUCACGUGAACUCCAAUAACACCCCCAACAAAUAAAUUAAAAAAAAGAAAGAAAGAAACAUGUGCUUAAACAUUAUGAGAUUCCUGUCUUCCUAGGAUAAACUCAACAGGGAAAGAAAAGAUUGACAACUUGACAGAAAGGUGUCCCCUGAAUGGAGCUUAAGUAUAAUGAUUUUCUGAUAUAAAAGAAAAGAAGCCUUUAAAGUACAGCAAAGCACGUUUAUUAGUUUCUUUUUCUGUGUAACCAUUGUCUGUCUAAAGAAGCUUAAAGGAUACAAGAUCCCUUUGAGUCUUGUUUUUUGUUUCUGCAUCCCAUAUGGGGAUUAUACAGGUCGAGUUCUGUUUGAUAUCUGCUCAUGGACUGCAUCAUUCCACGUCACUGUGGAAGCGCCAUUGGUAUGCUGUUGGGUGGAUUGAUCAUGACAGCAAAUAUUGCACCAAAGUUGAUGAUUCUGGGAACGCAAAUCCUGUUUGGAGAACCAAGUUUGCUAUUCCUGUUGAUGACUCGGCACUGAACAUCCGAGACUUGGCUUUGAAUGUGGAAGUUUACAGUAUAGACCCCAUAUUCUUCAAGGAAAAGCUUCAUGGCUCAACAACGGUUGGUCUGAAAGAGUUUCUUGUCAAGCAAUUAAAGAAUUCCGAGGUGUCCAUGCCAAAGCAAAAGGAGGUUCAGAGCUACCAAUUGCGAAAGAGGAAAUCCAGCAAAUCGAGAGGUUUUAUCGAUAUUUUGAUUUGUAUUUCGAAUGCAGAGAAAGAACUAAGUUCUCACACAGGUAUGCAAUUAUUUCAUAAUAACCUGCUAAAAACAAAUUUGUCUUUCCUCUUCAGCAUUUAGCCUUUGUUUCCCAUUUUUUAGAGAAUGUCCACUUUUUUCCUUGAAAUUGUAGAGAGUUAUCAGGUUACUUCCUAAAAUCAAGAAAUUGACAAAAAUGACCCUCAAAAUGUAAAUUGUCAGUCAUUUUAGUCGCAUAUUAUCUUUUGGGUAGCAUUCGAGUGUUAACUAACAAGUAUGAGAAUUAGUUUGACAAUUUGAUUUUAAAUACUCAACUUCAUGGACUAAUUUGAAAUGUUUGCCAAUAGAAGGUAACAUGUAGACUAAAAUAAUCAACAAUUUACAAUUUUAGAGACAUUUUUGCCCAUUUCUUAAUUUUAGAGACCAACUUCUUGACGCCCUACAAUUUCUGGAACCGGUUCCUGCUUCAAUAUACUAAUAAAGGGUUGCAUAAUAAUCUAGGAGGAAGAUGACAAGUUUGAUUUUCAGGUUACCUCUAGUUCUUUUAAAAAUUCUUUAUGAUCUAUAAAACUGUAAGUUGGUUAACAGUAGGUAGCAAGGAAGGAACAGUGCUUUUAGAUUACGGCGACAAUAACCAGUGGACUGCACAGGAAAGAUUAAGGCAGGCUUACCCGCAGAAGCAGCCAAAAAAUCAUGCACACACGAAUGUGCCAGACUCCUAUUCAGUGCCACUCACCACUACAAUCUACUCUGAUCAAUAUGUGGGUGAACAAAGCUACCAUGCAGCAGCUGGACCAAGUUAUCAACCACCAAGAACUAGAACUCCUCCUCCACCAUCACCACCCUCUAAUGUCGGUUACAUUCCCACUUUUCUCCCAAGAAAUGAUGGCUUGCCUCCAAGCUUCACAGACAUACCACCGUCUAGGGAAGAACACGGUCAAAAGGUGCCUCCAGGAGUUGCAUUGGAAAUAACUGCUGAGGCAUUAGCAGCUGGUACUGUUAUUUUUGGCGAUGACUUCUUGCCAGGAUUUGAUGUCAUACCAUCGUAGGAGAUGCUAUUGCUAACAUAAAAGCUGAUUCUCCUUCCAGAACCAAACAUUAACCAGUUCAAAUAAUUACGUAUGGCUGCACGCAACCUAUCAGUAGUGUUGGCCAUUGUAUUUGGUUCCACAUUCUUAAGAUUGUUAUUCUGUCAAAUAAAGUGCUGAGAUUCAUUUCAGUCAUUGGUCUGAAACAUUAAGAUAUUUUAUCAUUUAUAAAUUAAAUUAGCAAUAUUUUCUUUCAGGGAAGUUGUUAUCCUCAAUUGCUCCGCGCUAACGGUUUUGGCACGAAAUAAGGUAGCCUAAUAUCAAAAUCACAGAUUAGGACCAUCUACAGUUGUUUAAAAACUGCAAAAAAAUCAAGCCCUUAAAUAUUUUUUACUGUAUAUAUUAUAAAAACUACUGUAGUUAUCCAUUUCCAGAAAUUGAAUAUAUAAUUUAGAGAUUGCUUACCAAAUGGUGUAUAUAGUAGCCCUAUGGCGUAUACUAUAAAUGGAUUUACAGAUAAUUCAGGGAGCUUAACAUAAAUAAGAUAUCUUCAAGGACUAUAGCAGGCUAGCAAUAUAAUGCGAUAUAAAAUUUAUUUUGUGUAUAGGUACUUUUCCACUUCCAGGCUUUUCUUUAAUUGGUCUCUCAUGCCUGAUGAAUUUAAUGAGUAUGAAUCAAGACGCCCUAAAUGAUCGCCAUCCAUCUGAUCAAUUGCGUCAGUAUCUUCCUGUAUUAUAUGGAUUUGCUGUGAAGUAAAAUGGGAAGCCUGAGUUGUACAAAGUUCACAUUGCAGGUUGUAGAUAUUGUUUGUUGGAAUUGCCCGCAAACAUCCUUAGAAAGUUUUCAACAAUUGCAAUAAACUCCUCCACUUUUUCUUCAUGUGGCAAAUGGCCACAUUGCUUAAUUACUUCAAGCGAUGCUCCUGGUAUGACUUUUGAAAGUCUCUCAGCAUUCCACGAAGGAACUAGUCGGUCACUAUCACCGGUUACAAUCAGAACUGCAAAGUCAAACAAUAUCACCAAUUAGAUCACUACAUUAGAAAAAGAUACACGAUUCGACAUGAAAAUUGGGAACAAGGACCAGCAAAAAAAGAUCAAGGACACAAACAAGUCAUUAUGCAAAUGAACCUAUGUAUAGGAUCAGUGACAUCACCAGGACAAGAUAUUUCAUUAAGUCUUUUAGAAAGUGACGGCUUUGUAUUAGAUUCCUCAUCCAAAAUCAUUGCAGCAGUGUAUUCCACCAGUGCCUUAUCCCAAUCCUUAAUCCUCAAUGGCUGCAGUCAAUGCUAACAUCCGGGUGAGUACAUACUGUUUGAGAAUUAUGAUGAAAAUGAAAGAAAAAUAUAUUUACAGAAUAGGAAAAGAGAAAAUUGUUGUGAGACUACCUUUGUAUAACCACUAAGAACAUGUUCAGAGACCUGAUUUGGGUCAUACCAUGAAUUUCGAACCGCAGCGGUACCAAACUUAUCAAUUGCCAUUCUUAACUGAGAUUCAUAUGAAAAAAAGGGCCACCAGUCCAGUGGUUGUGACAAAUUAUAGACGGUGUCAGCUAAAGAAUUGUAAUCAAACUAAAGAUAGAAGCUAAAAUGCACAAAAUAGUAUUCAACAACAAACAAUGUAACUAGAUUUUUCCUUGCGUAGCGGACUAUAUGUAACCAGAUGGUAUUUGAGCCAAUAAUUCCAUGUUUCUCUUGGAUUAUAUAAUUUCCAACAAUGAUUGAACCAACAAGGUUGAUGUAACUGGAACAAAGAUUAUUUAGUAUUAAUUACAUUAGCCACGAACAAAUUUAUUACCAGCAUUAUCGCAAGGGAAGAACGCAGGAUAGUUGAUAACAGUUUCCUAUACAGAGAGUUGAGCAUAUCUGUCAUCUGCUUCAUCAUUCCUGUUAUUGCCAUUGCAAUGUUCUUGGUAAUCUUGGACAACAACUUGUAAAGUCCAACAAUUGGAUUUUUUCUGAUAGAACUGUUGUCUUCUUUCAUUUGAUUAUCUUGUUUUGAUUGAUUCUCUUUAACAAUUUUGGGUGUAGUUAGUGGCGCGAAAAUUGCUGGGGCGAUUAGGAUGAUAGCAGCAACCCGCUCAGGAGCUUCAAAAUAUGUAUUAACGGCUACAAGUGCACCGGCUGAGUGCCUGGCAUAUCAUUUUGUAAACUUCUAAGAAAAAAGAGACUACAGUGCAGAUUCAUAUGAGAAUAUAUAUUUUUUCCAUUGGUACUAUUACCAGUUAUAUAGUUUUAACAUCUGAUUUCAAUGAAGAAGAAGUUUAAGACGAAAAAGGAAAGAUAUUGCCGUGAAAAAUAUGUAGUUUCAUUUGCCUACAGAGGGAAUUCCUUGAUUCUGAUUCCAUAUAUCAUGUCUACUACCUCAAAAUGAUAAGAUAGAAAGAUAAAAACAUAGAUAAUCACUUUUUAACAAUUAGGAUUGGCAUGUAAAUGUUGAACUUGUGAAAUUUUAGAUAAAAGUAGAGAAAAUAAUAAAAACUUCAAAUAUCAUUGAUAAUAACUUAAUAUUGACUUCACAGUGGCUUGACAAAAAGGCUAAAUAUUAAUCCUUAUUUGUAGAGAUAUAUAGACUCAAUCCUAAAUAAAAAGAGAAAUCAAAAAACAAAUUAUAAUAAGUAAGAGAUAUGAAUAUUAAUCCUAAGAGAUAAUCCAAGAUAUGCUGAGAUUGAAAACUGAUCAUGGGAGAUAAACCAAGAUAUUCUGAGAUAUUAUUUUAUAUAUUCUAACAGUAGCAAUCAGGAAUAUCAGAUAAAUACAUAUCUAGACGCAGGGAUGCAACUUAUGAUCACCUAUAUAGGUGUCAACUUAUGACAACAGAUGCAAGCAGGCUCAACUUAGAUUGAGGGAAGUUGCCUAACAAUUAUACAACAAUAACAACCAAGCUUUAUGCCACUAAGUAGCGACUGGUACAUGGACGAAUAUCCAUUGUGAAAAAAUAAAGGCACUUAGCAAAACAAGAGAUAGAACAUUCACAUACCCUACUAAAAUUGCCUUCUCAGCUUUUAAUAAAUCAAAGAAGUGCAAGGUAGCAAGCACUGAAAAUGCCAUGGAGUAUGCAUUUAGAGGUUUUGUGUCUCCUGUUUCAGAAGAUAAGUUUACCCUAGAUGUCAAUCCAAAGGCUGGCCUAUCAAAAGCUAAAACUUUUGAACAAGUAGCCUCAGCCAAAGGCUUCAUAACCUUUUUCCAAGAGAACACUGAGGCUCCAAACCCAUGUAACAGAAUCAUAGGCAAACACAGCUUGUUGAUUUGAUUAGAAACAUGAGUCUGGUUCUGGAAAAUGCUUUGUGUCUGAGAUUCAGCAUCAUGUAUCUUGUGGUGUAUAUGCACUCCUUUGAACUCACAAAAAUAACUAUCUGGAUCAGCUAAAAGCUUUGGAUCCACUAAAUCUUCUUGAUCUAUUCCAGCUAUCUCUUUCCUUUUCUUCUUUGAUCCCAUAUCCAACAACUGCUCUGAAGAAAAAGGUUUCAACACGAACAUACAAAUCACAUAAUAUAAGUAGCCCAUUAAAUAAAGACUUUGAAUUUAUCUACUAGUAUAAGCACUUCUGGUAGAUACUAUUUGGGAUAGUUUAUGGAUACAUGUCCAUAAGCCGUUUUUAGCUUAUUUACAUAAGCUAUUCAGAAUAACUUAGAAAAACAUCUUAUAACUUAUAUCAAUUAUACAAUAAGGGAUGCACUUAACUGAUACUAGUUGGCAGUUACAUAAACAUUACAUUAAAAGAAAGAAAGAAAAAAAACAGCAAUUGAGAAGUAUUGAUCAGAGAAAAAAGAAGAAGAGUGAGGACCUGAACCAGUAACGGAAGAAGCUGAAGCAACGAAGGGAUUGUUAUGAGUAGCAAAGUUUGGAAGCCAUGAAGCAAAAAACUUUAGAGGAGAAGGACGUUUGUAUAAAUGUGUAGAGUUAUGGAAGGUAGUAGGAUUAUGAGUAGGAGGGGUGACCCUCAAUUUCCCACAAUUCAUCGUCUCAAAUCGCAUUUUAGCUUUUCUGAUGCUCCAUUAUAUCAUUCAUUCAGUGCCUUCAUUCGUCCAAACGGAUAACCUUCUUGUAACUUUGUAAGGGUAUAAUAAGUUUUUUUUACGAACAAAAAUGUUUUAAUUAUUUUAUUUAAUCUUAAUUGCAGUUUUGAUCCUUUUAGUUUUAUCAAUUUAUGAAAUUAGUAUUUUAAUUUAAAAGUCGAUAGUUUUGAUCUCUCUUAGAAUUUUGAACUAAAAAAAUAAGGAUUUGAAAUAUUUUAAACGACGUUGUAUACAAUUUUAUGAUAUAAAAUCAUCUAGAUGCACUAAUUAUUUAUAUAUCAUUAAUUAAAUUAUAAAAAUGAAAGAAAAAAAAUUAAAAUUGAAAGUUAAGUUUUUAGAAAAAUUUAUCAUAAUUUUUUAGGCAUUAAUCAUUUUCAGUGAUUUGGUCCCUCUAAGUGUUUAUCCUAAUUAAAAAAAUAUAAUGAAUUAUUAAAAUUAUCAAUUUCGUAAAUUGACAAAAUAAAAAAAUAAAAACUAAAACUGUAAUUAAAUAUUAUAUUUAUUAUUAUAUUUUUUAAAAUGUUUUUGGAAAAAGGUUAUAAGUUUUGAUUUGAUUGAAGAAAGGGUUAAGAAAUUGAGUGACAUUUGAUAAAAACUACUCGAUCAUUUUCUAAGUUAUUUUAGUUUAAGACACACAAUCAAAAAUAAUAAAUUUAGAUAUAUUUACUAAUUUUUAUCUUUAACUUUUUAAUUAAAAAUGAAAUUGAUAUAAUGAAAGUUUUGAAUUUUUUAAAAUUGAAAAAUAUAAUUAACUGUAUUUAAUUUUUUUUAAAUCAAAAUUAAUUUGAAGACAAAAUAAAAAUACUUAAAAAACCAAAGAUCAAAAGAUAAAGGGAGUAACAUUAACAAUUCUUCUCUCUUUUUUUAUGUAUUCCUUUGGUUAUAGUUUUAUUGAUUCAUUUGAAACAACAAAAUUGUCCCAAAAUAAUGGUUGUUUCAAUUUUCAAUCUAAAUAUUUUCAAUUGUACUAUUUGAUUAAUAAUAUUUAUAUUAUUUUGAAUACAAGAUUUUUUUAAUUAUAUUUUUAUGACAUUAAUAAUGCACUAAUAAUCAAAAAGAAUAAUUUCAUAAAAUCAAAAUUAUCUUUUAUUCGUUUAUACAUUUUUUUUAAUACGUGUAAAAUUAUCAAAUUACUCAAUUAAUUUGGAAUGAUGGAGUAUAAGUAAAAAUAGAUCUAUAAAAAUAAAUGUAUUUGAUUCAAACAACAAAUGUUGAUGUAUUUAAUUUAUUAGUCUAAAUUUUGAACAAAAUACAUCAACUUUUAUUUAUAAAUAAAAACAGAGCAAGUAGUUUAUCAAUGUUUAUCAUUAAAAAAAAAUUAUACAAAACUAUUAUUCUAUUAAGGGUUUUCAACCAAAAAAAAAAUUUAAAAUGAUUCUAUUAAGGUUUUUUUGGGUUUGUUAUUCUAUUAAAGGUUUAAUUGACAAAAUGUUAAUCUCUUUUUAAAUAACCAAGACACGAGACAUAAUAUAAAACAAAUUUUUUGUAUGCGUAGAAACUAACACAUUUUCUUAACCUGUAAUAGAACACAUCAAAUAUCUUCCAAAUUUUUUACCAUAUGAGCUGCUGUAUUUACAAGCUUAUAAAAAAUCAAUUUAAAAAUAUUAUACAAUAUUAAACGGCUGCUUAAUAUGUACUAAACAAAAAUAAUAAUUAUAAAAUUAAUAUAUUAUAUAUAUAUAUACAUAUAAUCAAAAAGUGGCAAAUGAGUUAAUGAAAACUAACCAGCAGGUAGUAUUAAUUACAAAGGAUUAUCAAUUCGUUUACGAUUAACCCAAUUGCUGUUUUUUAUGUCUUGGGAGUUGGGAGUUUCCUACUCUCGUAUUGUUUUUUUGCGUGUACGGGUCAUUUCUUGGAGUGGACCCUUUUUUUAUACAAAUAGUGAUAAUACUACUACUAAUAUAUUAAUGAUAAAUAAGUUUUUUCUUCUAUAAAUAGUCUAAUUUUUGUUUUUAAGUCCCUUAAAAAGUUGAGUACAAAACAAAAUCUAUUGUAAAAGUUUUCAUCAUAUAAUAGUUCCACGAAUAUUUCCGUCGAUAAUUUUAAUCGUUAAUUUCAUUUAAUGUUCACACACAUGACCCACAAAAUAUUAAAGGACAAUAAUUGAAUUUAAGAUGCUAAGUUGUGUCAUUUUACGGGUUUUAUUUUUGUUACAGUUGAGUUGUAAGUUGCGAUAAUAGUAAGACAAUGGUUUUUUUUAUAUAUGUUUAUAAUUUAAUAAAAAAAGUAUUUUGAAGUUUAAAGUGGUUGUAUGUUGUUCAAAUUUUGGUAUGAUAUUAUUGGAUCGUAUAUGAACUUAGUCGUUUGCUCAGUUUUUAAAUUUUAAAUGGCAAUUGAAACACUAAUUAUAUCACAUUGAACGAUCAUUGUUGAGUCAACAUUUUUUUUCUCUAUUUUAUAUUUAAUUUGUUAGAAAAAUAAUUAAAGAUUAUAUGCUACAAAAAGAAAAAUAACUAAAAUAAAUUUUAAAAUGAUAAAUAAUUAAAAUGAAAAUUAAAUUAAAAAUAAAGAACAAAAAUUAUAUUUUAGCUCAAAAUCAAAAAUCUUACCGUCACUGUCAAGUAGCAAAGUACCCUUACGUUGGCACGAAUCCAUGAAUUUGUGGUUAAUAGAUGAAAUUGCCAUUAUAUAAAAGGUUAAUAGUGUUUUUGGGUUCUGCAGUACGGGGCAAAUCCAAUUUUAGUCUUUAAUAAUUGUUUUAGAUUUUACCCCAUCAUUUCAUAUUCUUCAAUAAAUUUAAUCAUUUGUUUUUGUUGUCUUUUAAAACGACUGAAUGAAAAUGUUCAAUGUGUUUUCAAUCCACCUUAAUUUUCAAAAUAGUUAACAUAAUUUAUUUAUUUUUAGAAAUUAUUAAAAUGUUAUUAAGUAAAUUAAAAUUCCAUAUCACUUUAAUUUUCACAUAAUAUUUUAUUAAAUUAAGAUGGAACCAACAGACAAAAAAACAAAAAUUGAGAUGAAACCUAAUAUCCAACAUUUUUUAAAAUGGAAACUAAAAUUACAAUUACAAAGAAAAGAAAAAAAAAACUACCAACCAUAAACUUAGCCGCACUAACCUAACCACCAAACCAGCAACCUCAACUUUUUCCCUACCCAAAACCAAACUACAUCCUCAUCUUAUAUCCUACACAACCAAACCCAGGAAAAAGAAUAUGAGACAAUAAAUCUCAACUAGACAAAAUUUAAUCUUCUUCUCACGAGUUCGUCUUUUUCUUUCAAAACCAAUACUUGACCACAAUAUGAGAAAAAUUAAUUAUCAAUUGGAUUACAUGUUACCAACUCGAUGCAAAAUCCUCCAUAGUUCAAUUGGUUUUUUAGGUUAUGAUAAAAUGAAUUGUCACAAGCACGUUCUAAACAUCCCAAUCACUUUAGAUUUGAUUUCUAUAAAAGUCAAACGUAAAAAUAUUAAAUUCAAUCGAUAUGACAAAAUAAAAUAUUUUUCUAUAUUUUUCACUAAAAAUAUAAAAGUUUAAAUAUAUUUUUGAUUUUUUUUCUUUUAUUUAAUAUUCUUUUGGUCUUUUUUAUUUUGAUCAUUUAUUUUUUAUAAUUAGUAUAUUUUAAUAUAUGUGACAAUCGCAAUAAAAGUUAUAACAACAUUGGAAUUCUUUCAAAAAAAUAUCUAUUGUUUUCAAAAUACUAAUUCAUGAUAAUAAUUAUACCAUUAUUUAAAAAAAUUGUGAUAAAAAUGACUAAAAUACAUCAUUUAUAAAAGAUAAAUGAUGAAAAUAAAUUAAAGAAAAAAAAACCAAAAUAAAAAUUAAGUAAAAGAUAAAUGAUGGACAAUAUAUUCAAACCAAAUAUAAAACAUAAUUUAUUUGAAGAGUGUGCAAAAAAAAUCUUUAUACGGAUCAUCCACAUAGAUCUAAGAUUUGUGAAGAUGAAAAAAAGAAAAAAAGAAAAAAGGAGAUCUUAGUUUGAGAAGAUACACGACGACGAAGAAGAAGAGUGUUUAACUUUUUAUUUUAUUAUAUUUUUUUGAAUUUAAUAUUUGUAAACUUCAUAAUUUCGUUAUUUGCCAGUAUAGUUAAAAUAAAAAAAUAUUAAUUAAUUAAUUUUGUUAGUUUCAAUCAUUUGUAUUUAAAAGAUGUGAUUUUAAUAAUUUAGAGUAUAGUAUGAAGUUAAAUAAAAUUUAGUUAAGAAAUGUUUUCUUCAAAAUUCAAAUUUGCUUCUAUGAAACGGUCAUCUUUAUUUAUUUAUAACUCUAAAUUAAAAAUUAAAAUAUUAAAUUAAUAAUAGAUACUAAUAAUGGUAUUUAAUUAUAAAAACUCACUUUGAAUUAGUCUCAAUAAUUAUAAACACUCACUUUGUAUUUAAUUUUAGAUAGAUUCUCAUUUUUUUAAUUAAAUAUAAAUGAGCUACGUGAACCCAAUUCAUUUAAUGCAUCUUGUAUGAAUUUAAUUUUAAAUAAAUUUAGUUUAUAUAAGUAAUUUAUUUGAGUGUAAAUAAUAAUAAAAUUAUAAUUAGUAAAAGUUAUAUUUUAAGAAGAAAAAUUUAAAGAAAAAAAUUAUUAGGACUCAAAACGAAAUUUACUUUAUUUAUUUAUAAAAACAUAAAAUUUAUUUAACACUUUAUAUUAAUUUAUAUUUGUAUUAUUAGUUAUUUACAUUUCCACGUACAUAAAACAAAGCACUCGUUGUACCAAAAAAAUAAAAACAAAUCACCCAAAAAAAAAAAAAAAUCUCUUAGAAAAGAAAAAGAAAGACGAAGAAAACAAACAGAGAAAUCCAGCAAAACGGAAUGGCGAAAAUUGAUGUCUGAUUAGAGAGAUAGAAAUUGUGAAUUAGGAAGACAAUUUCACGUUUAGCAUUCCGAUCCCGAAUUCUUCGCCCUUGGUAAUAGAUUACGUCUAUAUGCUAUUCAUUUAUUAUUAUUAUUAUUUGACGAUCUUAUGCUUCCCAGUUUCAAUUCAAUUUUCCCUAACCCAAAUUAACCUUUCCGCUCUGUCAUCGCAAUUUUGUUUUUUUUAUCCAUUGAUCUCGUUAAUUCUUGCUUGGGUUCUUGGUUUUCUUUGUUGAAGUAUGCAUCUUUCUUUUUUUCCAUGAUGAAAUUUCUGAUCAUGGAUGGGGUAUAUAAUGUAGGCAUGCUGAACUGAAAAAUUGUUGCUGGGAAGUGUGAGGAUUUGCUCUGAGUUAUUGCAACCCCCCGGUACCCUCUUGCCUCAAUCACAUUUUCCUUUCUUUGCAUACCUGUUAGUUAGAAUGUAGAUAUAACAGCAUAAGAAAGUAUCUUUCUUGGCUUUGAAUAACUACACAUUAGUUCCAUGUUUUUAGUGUUUCUUGAACUUUGCAUCAACGGGAUUUGGAAGUUACAUUGACCAUAAAAAUGAUAAGAAAUAAUUAUGUUAUGGAAGAUUUUCUUUAAUUAUUAUUAUUUCAUAUGGUUGCUUUACAUCUAUGUAGCACUGACAUGUUAGAUCAAAGGCGUGUUUGGUGUCUGAUGUUGACACAAUACUGACACAUGUAGUACCAUCCAAUCACUUCAUUUUUUAAAAAUUAUUAUUGGUGUUUAUGUCUCAGUGUUGUGUUUGAUGUUCAUGUUAGUGUAAGUGCUUCAUAGCUUUACAUUUAUCUGUUGCAUGGGAAUGUUUCCUACAUCACUUAAAUAAAAUUGGAAUUCUAAGUUACCUUGGUUAAGUGAUAUAUAGCAGCUUGGGGUUUUGCUGGUGCUGGAACUGAUACAUGAAAACGAAAACUAGUAGAGUUAGAAGGAGUUACAAAUAUAGGAUACAUAGUUCAUGGACGAUAUGAAUAACGAACCUAGCAAUGAAUUUAGUUGUGCUGCACUAAAAUUUUGAUUGUGGUCUAGAGGGAACAGGUUGUUAUUUACUUCAUAUAUAGGAUGUUACCUAGAAGGAGUACAAAGCGGGCAUAUAUUGCCAGUUAUUUGAGUUAGUAUUUUUUUAUUUGUGUCGAAGCUCAUGAAUGGGUUUAUCCGUCUAGGAAAAGUUCAGUUUAUAUCUGCAGUUUAUCACUUAAGAGUCUUGAGUAACAUCUAAUUCACAAUCAAAACUUAUGAAAUUUGAAUUCCUAGACAUCUUCUCGCUGCUUUCAUCCCCGAGGUUGCAACUUGCAAACAUGAGUCUGGUUAAUAAUUUCUUUCAAGUGAUAUCAUAGAUUUUUUCUUGUCUGUUACAAUAGAAAUCACCUUGUGACAACUUUCUAUACCUAACUCAACUGUAGUUAUUGAGUGCAGAAAAUGCUGGCAGAUGCCCCCUCGUCCAAUAUGAAUUCACCUAUUUCAUCAUCUCAAGGAACAUUUCCUAAUUCAAGGAUCGAAAACUAUGAAUACCCCAAUAGUGGGGCCUCCUCUUCUCUUUCCCGGUUCAAUGCAGAUAUCAAUGGCAGUGAUGAAUCUGAUUUGCUCUCACUUUCAUGGAAUCAGGACUAUGGCUGCUUUGCUGCUGGAACAAGUAAUGGUUUUCAUAUCUAUAAUUGUGAACCUUUCAAAGACAUUUUCCGACGUGAUUUAAAAAGUGGCGGUUUCAAAAUUGUAGAGAUGUUGUUCCGCUGCAAUGUUCUAGCACUUGUUGGUGAUGUAGCUAAUUCCCAUUACCCACCCAAUAAAGUUUUGAUUUGGGAUGAUCAUCAGCGCAGGUGCAUGGGUGAAUUCACAUUUAGAUCCGAAGUUCGUGGUGUGAAAUUAAGACGGGAUCGAAUUGUAGUUGUUCUUGAGCACAAGAUAUAUGUUUACAACUUGAUGGAUUUGAAGCUUCUUCAUCAAUUUGAUACUAUGGCAAAUCCUAGGGGAUUGUGCUGUCUUUCAUACCAUUCAAAUACAUUUGUUUUAGCUUGUCCGGGCUGUCACAAAGGACAAGUUCGAGUUGAACACUUUGGACUGAAUGUGACAAAAUUAAUCAACGUUCACAAUUCCGAAGUUGCAUGCUUCACUAUGACAAUGGACGGGCUCCUUCUUGCAACUGCUAGUGUGAAGGGCACUUUGAUUAGAAUCUUCAAUACAAUGGAUGGCUCUCGUUUACAAGAAGUAGGUUAUUACACCGCAUAUUUAAUCAUUGUGAUAAACCGUUAUUAUGCCGAGCUUGCUGUAGGAAUUGGUUUGAUCUUCUUGAUCAGUUUCCCUCUUUUUCGUGAUCAGUCAUCCAUUUUUUCUUUCAUGUAGGUAAGAAGAGGGGCAGAUAAUGCUAAAAUCAACAGCAUAGCUCUGUCUCCAAAUGCCCAGUGGUUGGCAGCAUCAAGUGACAAAGGCACUGUUCAUAUAUUCAACUUGAGAGUGAGAGUCUUUGGGGAGGAUAGUGUAAUACACCCAAAUGCUCUCCAAGGGCCUGUACUGCUUCAUCAGAAUUCUUCAACUGCUUUAGAUCCCUUGAUUUCUCCAAAUACCGGUGCCAACCCCAAUUCAUCAUUAUCUUUCAUGAGAGGUAAACUUAUCAUAAUUUGGAGGUUCAGUCCAAUCACUUUUCCAGUUUAUCAAUUUGAAUACUUAUCCAGCCCGGUGAGCUACAUUAUGUGUGUACGAUUUUUAGAUAAUUUAUAGGCCUUUACAUCAACACCUUUUUCUGCACAAAUCUACAAGAAACCAAUGGUUUUGCACAAUAGGUUUAUUUAUAUUUCGGUUUAUGAGUUAUCCACGUAGCAUUACCCUUUUGAGAAUCAAUUCCUUCCAAAGCAUGUAGUAACAUAUUCUCUAAUAGAACCCAUAUAUUUAAGGAUAUUCUCUAAACCAACAUGGGAAAUUGCAUAAUAUUUAUGGUACAUUAUAUUUUUUUUCUUUUCUUAUCUAUUUUCUUCGGAAACAUUGUAGGGUUUUUACCUAAAUAUUUUAGCUCAGAAUGGUCAUUUGCACGGUUCCGCUUGCCUGGUAAAACUAAAUUCAUUGUGGCCUUUGGAUCUCAUAACACCGUCCUUAUUGUUGGCAUGGAUGGAAGGUAUGUCUAUUAUGCCGUCGUCUUAAUCCUAUUGUGGACUUGUCAGUUGUGUGUGCUCGUUUAAUCCCUCGUUUUUCUAAAAUUGAAUUCUUGAUUUUUGACAUUUCAAAUAAAGUUGUGGUGGUACACAUAAUAUUCUAGUGUUGCAUGCUGUUGAAAUUAAUGGCUUAUUGGUGAUCCAGAUUAGGUUUAUAUAAAUGAAUAUUUUUCUGGCGGACGGAAUUUUACUAUCCUACCAUUGAAUCAUGUGAUAUUUAUGUGGUCAUCCUGCAUACUAAAUAUAAGAUAAAUCAGGCAUUCGUAUAAAUUCUAAUUUAAUAGUUGAUGUUCAUUUGUUGUUUGAAAGUAUAUUGUUUAAUGAAAUACAUUAGAUUAAUCAUGAAAUUUAAUUUAAAAAAAAAGUUAUUCAAUGGAGUUAGUUAUAUUGUCUCAUCAUUCUCCUCGUCCAUAAAAACAACCUCCCAUUCUCUUCUUUUUAUCAGUUUCUACAGAUGCAUCUUUGAUCAAGUACACGGGGGAGAGAUGUUGCAGAAGGAUUAUGUUCGCUUCCUAAAACGUUAACUAAGCACUGAGGAACUAUUUCAAGCACUUCAAAUCCUCAACGAGCAGUAAAAUCUUCCCAAGAUGUAUAUUGUAAAUAUCAUGUCCCUAACACCAAACUUUUUCUCCUUAUAUGUAAAUAUGAUACCUGUCUCAAUUUGAGGAUCUUGAGAAUCGCAUGUAAAUAUUGUGUCAAAAAGGAAUGAAAUUGAAAAGGAGAUAAAUUGAUAGCAUUUGCUAAGGAAUAACGUGUUUGUUGAAUGCGUUACUUUACUUGCACCAUCCCUUGGCAAAUUUUGUUGCAGUGCACAAUUAUGUUAUCAUCAGUUGACACUAUAUUUUCUCCAAAGGAACUGUAAACAAACUCUUUCAAAUACUAGAUGUUAUCACGACAGGAGAAAAAUAGGUGUUGGGAUUCCUCUGAGAGUAACUAGAGGCAGUAAACCUGGACAUCUAUUUGAGGAUAUUAUCCACAAGUUCCUUACUGCAGAAGUGACCAUGAUGAUAUGAUAGGGUCACUCACAGAGUCAGUGACACGAACGGUGAAGGUAAUAAUAUGGAUGGGAGAAUUUGAAAGUACAAUUUGAUCAUGUAAAAAGUACAAUUUGAAAGAGAAAAAUAAACAAUUUUAACAAAUACUUGUUUCAGUCCUAAACAUAAGAUAAAAUUAGGUCAACAAACAUUUAUGUAUUUAAUUUAAAAUUCGGACUAAAUACAUCAACUUACUUUUGUGGACCAAACUUUCUCUUAUAUUUAGGAUCAGUGGAAGUAAUAAUGUGGAGCAUGGGAAGGGGGGUGUAAUAUUCUACAAGAUUUUGGCACUUUUUCUUACUGCUCCCUUAUUUGGUUUUGUUUUAUACUAGCAUCUCCUUGGUCUCUAAUAUGAACCUCCGAUCCUUGUGUACCCAGAAGAAAUCCGUCAACUAUAUACGGCAUAGUUUUGGGAAGAUCACAGCUUAGAUCUUGUAACUUUAUCAUCGAAUACAAUCAUCACCUUCCCUAUAGCUUUCCUAUCUCUGAUGGCAGAGAAGGCGAGGUUGGCCUGCAAGCAAAUGGUAGAAACUUUAUAACUAAAAAAUUCAGUUUUCAAAAAGAUAAAUAUAGAUGAUAGAUUCAACCAUUAUAAUCGGCCAAUUAAACAUUACAUCAAAUUUAAACUAAAAAUAGUGAAUACAUUUAAUGACACAAACAUCAUCUAUAAAAUUCCCUACCAACACUUCAAAAACAAAUGGGAAUUGACGAAUACAACAACAACAACCAAGCCUUUUUCCACUAAGUAGGGUCAACUACAUGGAUCAAACAAUGUCAUAGCGUUCUAUUAUAUAGUAUAUCUCGUUCCAAUGUAUUAAUCUCUAGGUCUUUCCUAAUAGUUUCUCUCAUAGUUUUCCUAGGUCUUCCCUUGCAUCUAACGAUUUGACUAUCCUCCAUUUGAUCUAUUCUUUUCACUACAAAAUAUACAUUCUAUAGGUCUCCUCUCCACAUGUCCAAAUCACCUAAACCGAGUUUCUACCAUUUUUUCUACUAUAAGUACUACCACGACUCUCUCGAAUAUAAAAUUAAUCAUAUAUACAAUUACCAAUUGGUCUUUGAUGUCACAACUAGUAUGUCACAUAUUUGGAUAAAUGCUUUGUCAUCUUUGAGUCUAAAUUGCAGGAAUAUAAGCGUAACCUUUUCUAUUUUCCCAACUCACUAAUUUUAAACAUUGAACUAUAUGUUAUGAGACCCCCAUUUAAACUGAAGUCAACACUGAACCUGAACAAGGCCAGUAAACAUGCUGAUUUAUAUAUAGUAAAUAGUGAACUAUAUAAAGCAAUAAGUUCAAUAGUGAACUAAGAAUGUACAUGGAAUUGGAGAAAGAAAAAGAAAUACACAAAUAAAUAGAAUAGCUAAUAGUCUAAGACAAGAGAAAUUCUGACCUCUGACAGGCUGUAAGAAUGAGAAAUGUGAAUGGAAAUCAAGCCUUUUGCCAACCAAGAGAGUAGCUCCUUGAGAGAAUCUUCAAGAACACCUGGGCGGUGUAUUUUAUAACUACCCCAAUAAAGGCCAUGUACUGUCCAAUUCUGCCACAAUGAUUUUUUAAUAAAUAAAUAUAAAAUAACCAACAAUUAAUACCAGCUAUGGAAGAGUUAAUGUUAUGCAAUGUGAGCAAAGGAAAAAAAGGAGUCAACAAUAGUUUACUGAUCCAAAGAUCUUGCUAGUUUAGUCGGGAUAAUUGUAAUAUUUUCGGCCAUAAGAGUGUUGUGGUUAUUUAAUCACAGAUUCACAAUGGAGUUUAUGUAGUUUGCAUUGGGGUCUAAGACUCUGGGCUGAGUCAUAUGUAUGGAGUAACACGCUUUUCUUUUAUAUAUAAUAUAUGGGCGGGUUGGUUAUUUAUCUUGUCAAAGAAAUACUGAAUAAAGAUGAGAGAAUCCUAUACACCUAGGCAUACACUGUUUCUUAGGUGCCUUCGUCUUCUUCUUCCCAUUAUUGUCUAAUGCAGUCUUAUACUUAUCUCAUUGAUUAGAUAUAUUAUCUGUAGGCCAUAAGCCAGCCAGAUAACUUAAAAUUCCCCAGCUCCGAGUUUCAUCUUUUUUUCAUGAUCUCCAAUCAUAAAGUUACAUUUAGCAGGUAUAUGUCACAACUCACAACCCUGGAAUAGGACCAUAGAUCAGAUAUUUAGUGAUGAGAUAGGAAAGGACUGCAUCAUACUGGAAUUUUGUUUGGCUUUUAGUUUUGUGCUGCUUUAGAAUUAGAUACAUAGCAUAAAGUAAGAAUAGUAUUUAAGAAGGCACGUUUUAGCUUCAUUGACCAAGAGGAAAGGAAAUGAAUUCACAGUUCAGCAUGUUGCAAUAAUACAUACAGCCUUUUAGUUUUUCUAGGUCAGUUUAAGGCAGUUAAAAUCUAGCAAUCUGUGAAGCAGCUGCUUUUAAACUUACUGCUAUAUUAUGCCUUGUUUAGACAACCAGCUUAUUUGCAUUCAGAUUUGUCUAAUGUGACAAUGACAACAGAUGUUCAGGUUAUAGACAAAGGUAUUUGCAUGUUAAUCAAACGCCCUGGUCAACAAUUUAACAAUAACUAAAAGAAAGCAACAUUACAAGUAAGGCACAAAUUGUACAGGCGUGCUAUUAAGGGUACAUGUAAUUGAGGACAUUACUUUGGAAAGUGGGAUAUCUAGUGGUUUCCCAAACAACAAAAGCUACACUUGUGAUAUCAAUCAUUGAAGAGAAGAAACAGGAGAUUAAAUCAAUGUUGAUGGGAAAUUAUCAGAAGUGCUCCUUCCAUAUCCCUUCCCAAUUAAUUCCAAAUUGAUUAUUAUAUAAUGUGAUUUUAAAUUAAAAGUCUAUGUGAAUAAAGCAUGAUCAGAUCAAGCAACAAGAAGUAAGGCAUAAAGUUAUUUAUCAAGCAAGGCAAUUACAUAGUCUAAAGCUCCAUUCUCAAUGUACCUUGACAAGAGCUAUGUUAGCAGGGAUGACAGGAAUCUCUCCACUUGCAAACCCAAUUAUCAGAAUGUUAGCUCCCCAUUUCAGAAGCUUCAAAGAUUCUUUCAUAAGCUUGCCACCGACUGGGUCAUACAGGACAUCGAUCCCUUUAAGCCUUCUUCCCUUAAGGAACUCUUUGACACUCUCAGUGACAUUUUCAUUACCCAAGUCCACCACAUGAUCAACAUCGAGUGAUUUCAAGAUCUGCACCUUUUCAGCUCCCCUGACACCAGAUUAUGCAAAAACAAGAAACACUCAACUCCAUGGGAUACCAAGUUAGCUAUUAAAAUGCAGAAAUCUAUAGCUUGUCCGGAUAAACUUCUCAAAAAUCACACCUGGAGAAAUAGAUGUUAUAUGUUUGGAUUGACAGUAUAAGAUGGAAAUGAGUGGAAUGAUAUAACAUCAUUUUCUUAAAAUCUAACUGGUUUAUUCCAUUCCAUCCUAUACGACCAAUCCAAAAAUAAGAAACUUGCAAUAACUAUAUGUUUUUUAAAUGACAGCUUCUUGUUAUAUAAGCAGAAAUUAACUUAUCCAACUCAAUUUCUCCAGAACUGUUCUCAUUUAACUUAUCCAUAAAACAUGUAUGAGUUAAUUGUUAAGCAAUUUUUACAUAAAAACAUAAUUAAAUAUGUAUUUUGUUAUUCAUUUUGAUCUACGAAUUGUCUUUCAUUAGUUAGUUUAGUUCUCAAAUAUAUCUUUUAUAGUCAAUUUGGUCCAUAAAAUUACUAACAAAAGAGAAGUUUGAUGAUGUGUUUUAUUUCGAUGCAUUUAAUAUUAUAGUUCCCACACCUCACACAUUUAAGAAACCAAAAUGACAUUUUACUUUUAUAUAAAUAUUAGAUUUUUGGUGGAGGUCUCCUCAAUAUUAAUCAGUGACUCUGCCGCUGGCUAGAAGCUGAUCCAAACUGAACCCUGCUCAAAAUAUAACGCAUUAUGCACACGAAAAGCAAAAGAUUACCUGGCAACAGCAAUAACAAUGGCCCCACAUGCUUUUCCAAUUUGCACAGCUGCAAGACCCACACCUCCAGCCGCACCCAAAACCAACAAUACCUACAAACAAUUCCUAAACCCACUUAACCCCAACAAACAACAAACAUAACAAUACUACAUUUACAUUACCCAACAACAAGUGAAGUAAACAACAACAUUAUAUUAUACCUGACCAGAUUUCAAUUGUGCUCUAUGAACAAGUGCAACAUGAGAAGUGCCAAAUGCCACAGCAAGUGCUCCAGCAGCAACCAAAUCACAACCUUCCGGCACGCGAAACCUUCAAAGAUAAAAACUUUAGAAGCGUGUCGUGACCAAAUACUCCCUUCGAAAUAAAAAAUAAGCAAAAAAAAAAAAAAAAGUUUAUAGAAAAUUGAUCUAUCUAGUCUUAAUUUUGAACCAAAUACAUCAUCAUUUCAAAUAUCAUUUUUUGCUUAUAUUUCAUUGGAGAGAUGAAGUGGAACAAUAAAAUGCAUGGGAAUCUCACAAUUGGGAUUGAUCAACAACAAUAUAUUGCGCAUAAGAGCCAAGAGCGGCGAAGGAACAAACAGGAUCUCCGACACGGAAGUUGGUAACUUUGGCGCCAACGGAAUCUACGAUGCCUGAAAAAUCGGAUCCGGGAAUGAAUGGCAAAGGGGGUUUUUCCUGAUACUUACCGAAAAUUUGCAAGUAAUUAGCGAAAUUCAAGCUUGUGGCUUUGAUCCUAACUCUGACCGAAGUUGGAGAGUCCAAUUGAGGGAUUGGGUGAUUUUUUGAUACGAUUAUUGAGCUGUUAUCGUCUUCGACGCUCACAGUUGGGUCUCCCAAUUUCCUGCACAAUAGCGCUUCCAUUUCUUGUUUGUUUCGAUCACUGCGAUGCACCAGAGCAGUUCAAUAUAUGCAGGCUACCAACAAACAAAUCUUAUUUUAUACCUGAAGAAUCCAUUCGACUUAUUUUACAAUUUUUAUUUUUAUUAUAAUUUAUAUACACACGCUAUUUGUUAAUCUCAAUCGUUAUCAGAUCAUUAAAAAUAUUGUUGAUUUUAUUUAUUUAUUUCCAUUUUAGAUUAAUUCUUUUUUCCAUUUUUCUCUAUUUUAUUAUGAUAUUUACGUGCCACGAUUUUGAAUCAUUUUCAUAGGUAAAAACAAAAAUGAAGUUGAACCCACCCAAACACAACAAAGGUAAGUUCUUCGAUCUAUGUUUGUCUUCAUAUGUUUAUAACAUUGAGCACCUCAUAGUGACAUCAAGUUUUACAAAGGAAGGAACAAGAUCAAGUUUUAUUUGCUUUAUGUUGAUGCAAAUCUGUCACUGCAAAUCUGUUAAACAGUUUUUUAACAGAAGGCCAGGUGCUAUGAAGUUGCAAUGUUGAGUCUCUCUAUACAAUAUUCACCACAAUUAUAAGAAAAUUAUUUAUUUUAGUUGUAAAGAAACAAAGAUAUAUAAAAGUAAACUUACACUACUCCUCUUUAGCUACCAAUUUCCAACCACAGUUAUUUGUAUCCCAGAGUUCAUAGGAUAAUUUGCAACUCCAGUGUUUUUAUGCACCAAUUACAACGAUAAAAGAUAUAUAAUUCACAUGGUAAGUUGUUAGUGAUAAAUGAAUAUAUAAGUUGUUAUCAAUAAAAAUUCUAAAAUAAUAUUAUAUACAAGACAAGUUAAUUACUAUUGAGAUUAAACAAUUAGAGACAUAUUUUUCAUGAUAAUUUUUUUAAAUAAUAUUAUAAAUAAGAUAAGUUGUCACUUAGUGAAAAAAUUGAUUAUUUAAUAAAUUUUGUCUAUGCGAUUAUGUACAAAUUCUCCAAAUAACUAUGUUUAAAUUUUAUCAGCUUGAUUUUAAUUUAGAAAUCUAACGGAUUAAAAAGAAUAUUGUACAAACAUAUCUUACAAAUCUUCUAUAAAUGAAUCACUAAAGAAGUCUUUAGAGUAUAUAAUUAGUUAAAUAUAAUAAUUUUACAUAUCUUCUAAAUAAUAAAUUUAUUAUUAUUAUUAUUAUUAUUAUUAUUAUUAUUAUUAUUAUUAUUAUUAUUAUAUACUAAAUAUUUAUUAGUAAAUUUGUGCCAGAUAAAUAUUAUGAUCAAUAAAUUUAUACGAAAUAAGCUGUCACUUUUAAUUUUUUAAAAUCACCGUCAUAAGACAAAUUAUCAUUUAUAACACAAAGUGACUAUAUAUUGAAUAAGUUCUCAUGAAUAAAAAUAAUGUACUGUUGAACCUGAAAUUUUGAUAAUCGAAUAUAUCUAUGUAAUAUAUAGAAAAAGUUGAUAGAAAGGAAUUCUAGAUUUUACCUCUUAUUACAAUUGUGACUCUGCUUCAUUAGGGGUAUUUUAAUACAAUCGUAACCAAUAAAAUACAUAUAACAAAAUAUUUUUAAUUCAUAAAUAAAAUAUAUAUUUAUUAUUGAAAAAUAUAUAUAAUAAAUAUUUAUUAUUAAUAUAAAAAAAAUAAUAUAUUAUCACUAAUAAGUAUAAAAAAUAUAUGAUAAAUAUUUAUUAUUAAUAUUUAAAAAGUAUAAGACAUAUAUUUGUGAUUGAUUAAUUUAAAAAAAAAACACGGAAUAUAUAUUGUUCACUUAUUAAAAGAAUAUAAAAUAGAUAUUUAUUACUAAAAAUUAUACAUUUUUUAAAAUAAUUUUUUUUAUGUUGUUUUUUGUAAAUAAGCUAUUAAAAAAUUAUUUUAUGCGAGCAAUUCAUAAUUUAUAUAUGAGAUUUGUUUUUUUCAUUGUUUUUUAGAUUAAUAAACUUAAGAAAUUUUUGAAAAGUAUAAUUCAUACACGGAAUAAAUAUGUGCUUCUAAUUAUUUAAUUAAUUUUUUUUUAUAUAUUUUCUAAAUGAAAGUAAGAAAAAUAUGCAAAUACUAAUUUGAAUUAUUCUCUCGCCCAUUACACACGUGAGAAUUAGUUAAAUUAUUUUUAUUUUAAAUACCAUCGACAUAAAAAUAGAAGAGAAAAUAUAAUAUCUAUUAUAUUGUCAUAUUUUGAGUUUUUCACGUUUUUCAGAAAAUAAGUUAUUAAAGAAGUUGAUAAAGCAUAUAAUUCAUAAAUGAUACAAAUAUUUAUUAUUAAUUAAUUAUUUUGUUUUUUUAUAUCUUCGACAUAAAGUGAUAACAAUUUCUGUAUUUGUUAAAUAUCAUUCGCAUAAAAAUAAGAAUAAUUAUAAUAUGAUAAUUAUAAUAUUUUCACACUUCAUUUUUUUCACAUUAUUUUUCUAGAUUGAGUAACACAUGAAACACCUGAAGCAUAUAAUUUAUAUACGGAACAAUUAUUUAUCUCUAAUUAUUUAGUUACAUUUAAUAUUUUUUUUAUAUCAUCAAAUAAAAAUGGGAAUAAUAUGAAAUUACUAAUUUGAGUUUAUUAUCAAAACCAUACACAAGAUAAUUAGUUAAAAUUAAUAUUUUUUUUAAUACUAUUGAUAUAAAAAUGAAAAAUAAUUAAUACAAUUACUAUAUUUUUUUCACAAUUUGUUUUUUUAAUGUUGAUUUUUCUAAAAAUGAAUCAUAAAAGAAGACGUUGAAGGUAAAACUAAUACACAAGACAAAUAUUUAUUACUAAUUGAUUAGUUAAAUUUAACAUUUUAUACAUCUUUAACACUAAUUGACAAAUAUUUAUCACUAAUUAUUUAGUUACAUUUAAUAUUUUUUUAUAUCAUCUAAUAAAAAUGGGAAUAAUAUGAAAUUACUAAUUUGAGUUUAUUAUCAAAACCAUACACAAGAUAAUUAGUUAAAAUUAAUAUUUUUUAAUACUAUUGAUAUGAAAAUGAAAACAAAUUAAUACAAUUACUAUAAUUUUUUCACAAUUUGAUUUUUUAAUGCUGAUUUUUCUAAAAAUGAAUCAUAAAAGAAGAUGUUGAAGCGUAAAAUUAAUAUACAAGACAAAUAUUUACUACUAAUUGAUUAAUUAAAUUUAACAUUUUAUACGUCUUUAAUGUAAAAAUGAGAUCUAUUAUAAUACAAUAACUAUAGUUUUUUUUUAAACUUUAUUUUGUGCACGUUGAUGAAAACGAGUAGCCACAUGAAUAGUUUAAACAUACAAUUUAUAUACGAGACACAUAUUUUUCAUUAAUUAAUUAGUUAAAUUUAAUAUAUUAAUUUAUAUUAUCUAAGAAAAUAAAAAUUAUAGACGAGAUAAGUAUUUUCAAAAAGUUAGUUAAAAUGAAUAUUUUUUAAAUAUCGUCAACAUAAAAGUAAAAAUAAUAUAAACUUAUUAUUUAUUUUAAUAUUUGUGCAAAACACUUCAACUAAAAAAUAUAUAUUUUUGUAAUUAUAUAAUUCAACUCAUUAAAAAAAUAUAUCAUACUUGUUCAUAUGAUAUUUAUCUAAUCGUUUUAUUUACUAAAAGUUUUAUUUAUUAAACAUGUCUGAAACUAAAAAAUUGAACUCGUACAAAUAGAAGAGUCACUAAUAUGUAAAGAGAAUAAUAUUAUAUUGACCUAUAUAACACAUAUUUACUUUUUAAAAAACAAUAAAUAACACAUGUUUGUUAUGUUUUAAAAUUGGUAAAAACAAUAUGUUUUGUAAUUAGUAAAAUUACUUUUAACCGAAGUUUAUUAGCAAUUGAGCUCAAUCACUUAGUAGUUGUUUGAAUGUUAUUCUAUUCUUAUAGUUGUUAAAAUUAAGACACUCCCUUUAUCACCAAUAAGUGUCUUGUUUGUUAUUUUUCUUUCUCUUUUUCUUAAAUUAUUUGUCAUUUUCUAAUAUUAAUACAAUAUUUAUUAUUUUGUUUUUAAAUAAUAUAUUUUUAUUUAUUGUUUCUUAAUUCAUUUAACAACAAUUCAACUACGGUUAAUGAUUAUUUUAAUAAAUAAAUUUAUUUUAUUGUUAGAAUUAACAUAAUAUUUAGUCAUUUUCUUAACAAUUUUAGACAAACUCAAAUAAUACUUUUGUAAUGUGUGGAUGUGAUGUGAGCAAUAUUAAGUUGUGAUAUUAUGGUAUUAAUAUUUGCAUUGAAAAAUCUAUUUUCUUUUUCACCCUUCAUUCAUCUGUAUAUUCUUAUUGCUUUACAAUUGAUAAAAAAAAUUAUUUUUUUAUUUCAGUUGCUAUAACUAUUUAACCAUAUAGAUCUUCAUUUAGAUUUUUUAUUUUGACCGGUUCUUAAAAAAUUAAUCUUUGCAUUGAAAAAUAAAUUAGGUAAAAUAUUUUACAAUGAGAGAUGUUAGUUUUGACGUGUGAAAAAAAUAAAAUGAAAAGUAUACAUUAAGAUAAUUAAAAUUGAGCUGCACAUUAAAUCGAUAUAAAUAUUAGUUAAAGGUUUAGAUAUCUGAUCGCAAUUGAACCACAUAUAAUAUAUAUAUUUUUUAAUAUAAUAUAUACAACAGUAAUAAUAACUAAAAAAUAAUAAAAUAUUUAUGCUAGCUGUAUAAUUCAGCGAUCCUAUUAGAUUAUUUUUUAGUCAAUCUUUUUAUUAGUUAUCAUUGUGAAAAAUAAUUUUAUCAGUUUAAUGUUUAAUGGGCAAGCUUUUUUAAAUAAUAUGAAUGGCAAAACAACAUGUAAGAAAAUAAGUGGCGAAGAUAAAGAUAAAAAAAUCUAUUAAACAUUAUCAACAAGAAAAAAUUGGUUGCUAUAAUCGUUAUGUCAAAUAGAGGCAAGUUACAACUCUAAAAAGUACAAACAAGUCCCGCAACCAUCACUUUUAGUAAAAAUCAAAUCGUGGAACACUUAUAAAUAGAUGGAUCAAAUAAGUUUUAUUUAUUUAUUUAUUUAUUUUUAUAAAAUUUUACUAUUUUAAUUUUAGUUUGUAUAUAAAAUUUAAUCAAUUUUUAGUUUUUUAAAAAUUUUAUUUUUAUCUUUUGUUGCAUUUUUGAAUAGUUUAAUGAAAUAAUACUUAAGACAUUAUAUUUAAUUAACCAUUUAUUGAAAAAUUCUAUUUUUUUAAAAUCGAUAAAUAUACCCUAAACAUAAUCGUAAAAUUAUUAUAAAAUUUAAAAGAUAUAUAUAAUUGUUGAUUUAAAAUUAAAGAUAAAAAACAAUUUAAGAACCAAAAUUUAAUGAAUUUAUUAUAAGAAUUAAAAAUACAACAGUUAAAUUUUAUAGAAAUUAAAAAUUUAUUUAAUUUUAAAUAAAUUGAGGUGUGUAUUUCUUUGUCCAACAUAAAUGUGGGCCAUAUUUAUUAGAGAGAAAAAAAUAGCGCCGGUGUACAUUUGAUUAUAAGGGUGAUUAAUAUUCUUAUAUGAUGUAUUUUUUAUAUCCCAUAAUAAUUAAGUCAUUAUUUUACACAUAUUAAAAAAAUAUUAUAAAUAAAAGAAAAAAAUAAUAUUUUUAACAAAUUAUCGUUGUUAGAUAAUAAUACAUUAUCAAUGUCAUAAAUGUAUAAUAAAAUAUAUUAUAUUAAAAAUAAUUCAAGUAGUAUUAAUUAAAGAAUAUGAUUAAAAAAACACAUUAGAAAUUGAAAAAUCUUUAUUACAAAUGAGUCAAUUGUAGUAGAAUAAAAAGAGUCAACUAUAUAUUCCUUAUAUUCUUAUUUAGAAGCAAAAGUGUAAUGUGUUUAGUAGAAUAUUUGGAGCAAAUAUAUAAAUAUUUUUGCAUAUGACCUAUAUCUAAUGGUUGGACAUAAUGACAUGUAUGAAUCACCUCUCCCACUAUCCCUCUACACUUUCUCCAUUUCACUAUAUCUUUUCUUAUCAACUCAUUAAGAAUGAUAUUAAAGAAAAAGAACAGUUAUGAAAGGGCAAAAUUGACCAGGGAGAUGGAGAACUGGAGAGAGUGUAGAGGAAUAUUUGUUGUGCUAACAAGUGAAAAUGUAGUUAGUGGGAAAUGAAAAAGUUUUCUGUACACCCAUUCAUUUAUUUUAUACUUUAAAAGAAAAAAAAAAUAAAAGAGUGAUGUGAUAUAAAACGAGAUAAAGUAAAAACGAGAUAUUAAAUGAAUAUAAGACAGUUAAGAGUGUUUAAAUAUAAGAGUUGGUGAAAAAUAUUCUAUUUUUAACAAUAAAUUUAAAAUAUUUAUAUAUAUGCAACUUCAAAUCUUAAAGGAUAAGAGUUAUUUUGAAAAGAAAAAAAUUUGUUAUAAAAUGAAUGUGAUUAUAAUUUUUAAUAUAAUUUUAAUUAUUUUUUUCAAUCAUAUGUUUCGGUUAUUACUAUACGUAUUACUUUCAAAACAUCAACAUCACUUUACAAUUAUGUUAGUGAAAAAUCAAUCAAUAAUUAAUAAAAAUAAUUUAAUAAAAUCAAUAUUUUUUUCCUUCUCUAGUCGCUACAUUUCUUAAUAUGUAUAAAAAUCUCAUACACAUUUUAAAAUGGCCUCAAAAAAAAACUAUGAAAGGUAUAGUUGUGUGUGACCGCACGCACCUAUUUAUGGCGGCCAUAUAUGUAUGAAAAUUAUGUAUAGGUUGAGACAUAGAAAUAUUGGAGGCAAAAGAAAGAAGGAGCUCCCCUUCAGUCCAAGAUUGAUAUAUCGAUCCGAAAUAUAAUAUAUCCCUUCUCACUCAUUCAUUCAUAUAUUAAUUAAUUAAUUAAUUGAUGAAAGAAUGACUGAGAUCAGAAGAUAUAUAGAUACUUCAGCAACUAUAUCCAUGCACGGGCUGAAGGAAGCUCCUUCAUUCUCUUUCUCUCCCAAUCUAACACUAGCUGCAUCACAUUAUAUAUUGAUGUGCUAUGCUCAAUAGAUGAAACCAACUGAGUGUGUUAUAUAAAGAACUUUACAUGAAUGAAUGCUGUAUAUAAAGACCAAAAAGCACACGAUGAACUAAUGAAUUAAUGGCCAACAAUGAAAAUGCAUUAUUAAAUUUAUUUAUGCUACUAUUUUUUUUCUUUUCAGAGUGGCUGCUAAAUUCAUAAGAGGCAUGAUGGGUUAGCUAGUGUCCCUAUGAGAGUCAAAGACACUAUAUAGUGGGGAUAUAUAAAUAAAUUUCACUCACUAUUAAUGUUGCAGUACCACUUUUAUUUUAAUCCAAAUAAAUUAAUUGAAUGUAGUCCUUAUAAUUUUUUAGAUUACUUCAAUUCCAAAUUUAGUGCAAUGCAAAAUAAGUUUAAGAUCUUUUUAUUCAAGGUUGCACUAUAGCUCCAUUUUCUUAAAAAUAUUUGAUCUUUGCUUGUUUUCUAAAGAAAAUACAGUGGAGAAACCUAUAUACUAGAAAUCGGUUUUCCUUAACAAUAUUCAUAUAAGAAUUCAGCUUAGUUGUUGAGUGUCAAAGAAGGUAAUGUUUAAGAUAUAUACAACCCAUAAAAAUAGUAUUUGUAACAAAAACAUGCUAUAAGUCUCACGUUUUGAUGAAAAAGUAAACAUUUAGCACCAUAUAAGUAAGAACCUUAGAUACUGUUUUUUUAAUGAAUAUGUGGUAUACAACGCUUUUAGCCCAAUGUGAGAAUCUUUAUACUCCCCUCGCACCCAACAAUAAAUUUGAAUAAUCUACCUAGCAUCCGAUCCAUAUCCAUAGCUUUAGUUUCUCUUCAAUGUGCUUGCUUAGCUGUUCAUUACAAUAAUAUCCUUCCUUUCAUGGAGACCAUCCAUAAAUAUGCAUCAAAACUCCAUAACCUGUCUGUCAGAAAGAGGGGUAGGGGGGAAGAAUUCCCCCAAAAAAAAUAGGGGAUGAAUAAAGUCAUUAUCAUAUAUGAAGGUGACACUUUUUGUGGGCAGGGCAGGGGGGUCAAAAGUUGAAGUGAUGCAACGGAGGAAAGGACAGACAAUGGAUAUAUAAUAAUGUGAUCUCCCACAAUGCCACAGUGGGGAGCAGCAGCCAGACCACCACUGUGGUCCAUUUGCUGGAUAUAUAAUCUUGUGAUGAUUGUAUUAGAUUUUAUUUCCAAGAUAAUCUUGAGAUUUAGUAGGAGUGCUACUUUUGCUUAAUCAUGUUUGCACACUUAUCAUGUACUCCCUCCAGCACUAUUCGACAUAUUUUAAGAAAAGUAAAUUUUAUGUAUUAUUUUUCUUAAAAUAUCUUUUAUAUAUGAAUGUGUUCGAUUUUUACUUUUCAUCUUCUAAAAUAAAUUACUAGUAUUACCUGUGAACUUAACUUUAAUAAUGUCCAUCGCAAAUUACAAUUGUGAUUGUGGUUCACAACUCAAAACAUCAUGAUUGUUGAAUGACAAUUCAAUAAUGUGUCAUUCUCAUCAACCAGCACAGGUGGUAAGGUAAGUGUGCUUGUAUCUUUGUUCUGCUUUAAGCCAAUUUUAAUUGUGGAUCGCAACUCAAAAUUUAGUGUUGUCAAGAAUGUCUUCCAACUAGGAUGAGACUAAGAGAUAUAGUAUAGAUUGUCCUAUUAAUUGCUCUUUCAUUUAUAACGAAUUAGAAAAUUAUAAUCAUGUUCACUUAUGGAAUCCCAUUGACAGGUAUUUGUUGGAGGGAAUAGAUUUGAAAGAUACUUUUUUCUUAGUUUGUCAUGUUUUAUGGAGUACCCUUUUGGCUGUUUUUAAUGGAUUUUCUUUGAACAAAAAAAAAAAGGUUCUUUUGUGGGCACAAGAGGUGUGCAACUUUCAAGGCAGUUUAAAUUGUUUUCAAUAGUGUGCUCAAAGGAGUUGAAUUUGUCUAUAUUUGGUUAUAUAAUUUGUGAGUGUAAAUGUAUCUUGUUUUCUAAUCUAAACUUUAUGGUAGAGUUUGAUAGGAAAUCAAUAAAAAGAGUAGUAUUUCGCAUCUUUCUAAAUCUUUGAUUGCAUGAGGUUAUUAUUGUAAAAAAAAAAAAACUUGAUUCAAGAGUAUGCUAUGCUUACACUUACCAGGUGGAUGUGAAUCCCUCUACAAAAUAAUAUAAGGUAAGAGGUGAAUGAAUAUAAUGAACAAGUAAUAUGUCUUUCAUGUGUGGUUAGGGUCUGAUCUCCUUACAGUUCUGUUGUAAAAGAAAAACGGGCGAAGAAAAUUUAAUCGAACUUUCAAUGGCCAUAAAUUUUAUUUCCUUCAUAUGAAUUUCAUAGAAUCCAUUAAUGGAACAACAUUGCCAAACCAAAGUAAUAAACAUAACAUUUGGUAGGCAGAUUUUAGCUCAAUAAUAUGAUUCAAGCCAAACAAAGCGAGCUCAAAAUAACUGAAAAAACAAACUCGUUGAUCCAUCCCCGAAGGUCCGCAGAUCAGCCGGUUUUACCGACUUCCUGCAUAAUGGGCAAGUCCAUUCUCU